UUUUUUUUUUUUUUCUCAAGUACAAAGAUGCUAAAUUCUUUUUGAUUCUAGUCAUAUUUGAAAUCUGCGGCUUCUUUUGCCGGAAGACUCAAAAUAGGAAAACUGUUGGUGCAACAACAGAAUCAAGCAGACUCAGCAAGUAUCUUGUCGAGCAAGCCUCGAAACUUGCUGAGCAAACAAACAAUUUCGAGUUAAAGAAAGAAGAGAAUAAGCUGGGGAAAUUUUUUGUGAAUAUUGAUGAACAAAACUGAUUUCAUUCAUACAUAAAACAAUGGCUUGAAGCCAGUACAUAACUCAAGCAUAAGGCUUGUCAAAAUCAACAAGUAAUUACCUACCUCCACUAAUUACAUAGAAACUUGAAAUCUUAGCUUGUAAACUUAUACAAAACUGUGUUUACAGCUCAUACAUAAGCUAAUUACAUCAAUCAGAAAGCUAACUUAGUUAGAAAUGAACUAACACUCAUUUCAUCAACUAAAUAUAACAAAAUGAACAAAAUGAGCUUGCAUCAGCAGCCCUUGCAUCNNNNNNNNNNNNNNNNNNNNNNNNNNNNNNNNNNNNNNNNNNNNNNNNNNNNNNNNNNNNNNNNNNNNNNNNNNNNNNNNNNNNNNNNNNNNNNNNNNNNNNNNNNNNNNNNNNNNNNNNNNNNNNNNNNNNNNNNNNNNNNNNNNNNNNNNNNNNNNNNNNNNNNNNNNNNNNNNNNNNNNNNNNNNNNNNNNNNNNNNNNNNNNNNNNNNNNNNNNNNNNNNNNNNNNNNNNNNNNNNNNNNNNNNNNNNNNNNNNNNNNNNNNNNNNNNNNNNNNNNNNNNNNNNNNNNNNNNNNNNNNNNNNNNNNNNNNNNNNNNNNNNNNNNNNNNNNNNNNNNNNNNNNNNNNNNNNNNNNNNNNNNNNNNNNNNNNNNNNNNNNNNNNNNNNNNNNNNNNNNNNNNNNNNNNNNNNNNNNNNNNNNNNNNNNNNNNNNNNNNNNNNNNNNNNNNNNNNNNNNNNNNNNNNNNNNNNNNNNNNNNNNNNNNNNNNNNNNNNNNNNNNNNNNNNNNNNNNNNNNNNNNNNNNNNNNNNNNNNNNNNNNNNNNNNNNNNNNNNNNNNNNNNNNNNNNNNNNNNNNNNNNNNNNNNNNNNNNNNNNNNNNNNNNNNNNNNNNNNNNNNNNNNNNNNNNNNNNNNNNNNNNNNNNNNNNNNNNNNNNNNNNNNNNNNNNNNNNNNNNNNNNNNNNNNNNNNNNNNNNNNNNNNNNNNNNNNNNNNNNNNNNNNNNNNNNNNNNNNNNNNNNNNNNNNNNNNNNNNNNNNNNNNNNNNNNNNNNNNNNNNNNNNNNNNNNNNNNNNNNNNNNNNNNNNNNNNNNNNNNNNNNNNNNNNNNNNNNNNNNNNNNNNNNNNNNNNNNNNNNNNNNNNNNNNNNNNNNNNNNNNNNNNNNNNNNNNNNNNNNNNNNNNNNNNNNNNNNNNNNNNNNNNNNNNNNNNNNNNNNNNNNNNNNNNNNNNNNNNNNNNNNNNNNNNNNNNNNNNNNNNNNNNNNNNNNNNNNNNNNNNNNNNNNNNNNNNNNNNNNNNNNNNNNNNNNNNNNNNNNNNNNNNNNNNNNNNNNNNNNNNNNNNNNNNNNNNNNNNNNNNNNNNNNNNNNNNNNNNNNNNNNNNNNNNNNNNNNNNNNNNNNNNNNNNNNNNNNNNNNNNNNNNNNNNNNNNNNNNNNNNNNNNNNNNNNNNNNNNNNNNNNNNNNNNNNNNNNNNNNNNNNNNNNNNNNNNNNNNNNNNNNNNNNNNNNNNNNNNNNNNNNNNNNNNNNNNNNNNNNNNNNNNNNNNNNNNNNNNNNNNNNNNNNNNNNNNNNNNNNNNNNNNNNNNNNNNNNNNNNNNNNNNNNNNNNNNNNNNNNNNNNNNNNNNNNNNNNNNNNNNNNNNNNNNNNNNNNNNNNNNNNNNNNNNNNNNNNNNNNNNNNNNNNNNNNNNNNNNNNNNNNNNNNNNNNNNNNNNNNNNNNNNNNNNNNNNNNNNNNNNNNNNNNNNNNNNNNNNNNNNNNNNNNNNNNNNNNNNNNNNNNNNNNNNNNNNNNNNNNNNNNNNNNNNNNNNNNNNNNNNNNNNNNNNNNNNNNNNNNNNNNNNNNNNNNNNNNNNNNNNNNNNNNNNNNNNNNNNNNNNNNNNNNNNNNNNNNNNNNNNNNNNNNNNNNNNNNNNNNNNNNNNNNNNNNNNNNNNNNNNNNNNNNNNNNNNNNNNNNNNNNNNNNNNNNNNNNNNNNNNNNNNNNNNNNNNNNNNNNNNNNNNNNNNNNNNNNNNNNNNNNNNNNNNNNNNNNNNNNNNNNNNNNNNNNNNNNNNNNNNNNNNNNNNNNNNNNNNNNNNNNNNNNNNNNNNNNNNNNNNNNNNNNNNNNNNNNNNNNNNNNNNNNNNNNNNNNNNNNNNNNNNNNNNNNNNNNNNNNNNNNNNNNNNNNNNNNNNNNNNNNNNNNNNNNNNNNNAUCUCUUUUUUACUCUCUUAUAUCACAACCUUGUACCUAAUUUCCUUACUGUCUUGUCUGGGAUGGUGUUGGAGUUUUAGGGAAGUUGAGAGAACAAAAUACAGAGAAAACAAAGAACAACACUUAUCAGAAUUUAAUUUUUUUGACUGCUAUCAAAUUUUCUCAUAUGCUUUUCAUUCAACAAGAAAUACAAUAUAUAUAUGUGUGUAGUGGUCAUAAGAAAGUCAACAAACCCCAUUAAUACACUUUGAAAAUACAAAUACAUAACUUGUACAUUAAUACACAAACUCUGCUUAUCUAACAAGUGAUCUUAGCAAGCAGACUAAUACAAAAAUCAUCAUCAGCAUAUGCGAACCUUUCUUAAAAUACGUCAGGUGGUUCGCCAACAACAUAUAACAGCUCACACUUUGAUGAGCUUGCAACUUCAAUUGAGCUUACACUUUUGGUUUUGUGAGAAUAUCAGCAAGUUGGACAUCUGAACUACAAUGAACCAGCUUCACCUCAUUCGAUUGCUCGACUUCUCUAAAAAGUCCUAGGUCUUAGGUAACAUUACAUGUUGGUUCUAGGUCUUUUAUAGUGACUGUGUUGGGCUCAUCGAGUUCCCAACAAACACUAAGACAGCAAAGAAAUCUAACAGGCCUGGUCAGAGAUGAGCUAUAGUGAUAAUUGAUUUAAUGUUGUUUUUAAUUAUUUUUCUUUUAUAUAAAGCCGAUUAAUGAAAUCUACAUGGAACAAAUCAUAAUGAUGCAGCAAUUAAUAANNNNNNNNNNNNNNNNNNNNNNNNNNNNNNNNNNNNNNNNNNNNNNNNNNNNNNNNNNNNNNNNNNNNNNNNNNNNNNNNNNNNNNNNNNNNNNNNNNNNNNNNNNNNNNNNNNNNNNNNNNNNNNNNNNNNNNNNNNNNNNNNNNNNNNNNNNNNNNNNNNNNNNNNNNNNNNNNNNNNNNNNNNNNNNNNNNNNNNNNNNNNNNNNNNNNNNNNNNNNNNNNNNNNNNNNNNNNNNNNNNNNNNNNNNNNNNNNNNNNNNNNNNNNNNNNNNNNNNNNNNNNNNNNNNNNNNNNNNNNNNNNNNNNNNNNNNNNNNNNNNNNNNNNNNNNNNNNNNNNNNNNNNNNNNNNNNNNNNNNNNNNNNNNNNNNNNNNNNNNNNNNNNNNNNNNNNNNNNNNNNNNNNNNNNNNNNNNNNNNNNNNNNNNNNNNNNNNNNNNNNNNNNNNNNNNNNNNNNNNNNNNNNNNNNNNNNNNNNNNNNNNNNNNNNNNNNNNNNNNNNNNNNNNNNNNNNNNNNNNNNNNNNNNNNAGUUUCAAGUUCAAACCAUUUUAGGUUCAAGUCAUUCGGUUUCGGAUAAUUUCAGGCUCAUAUUGAACGGUGUUGGAUAAUUUUUUUAAUCAAAUCGAGUUUAAAAUUUCCAAAUCAUUUUGGUUCAGGUUAGUUUCAGGCUCAAAUCAGUUUCGGAUUUGAUCAUUUUAGGCUCAUAUUGGACAAUGUUGGAUUAUCAUUUUAGUCAAAUCAGUUUUAAAAUUUCCGGAUCAUUUUGAUUCGGGUUAGUUUCAAGUUUAAAUCAAUUUCGAUUCCGGAUUUGAUCAUUUCAGGUUCAUAUAGAACGGUGUUGGAUUAUUUUUUAAUCAAAUCGGGUUUUAAAAUUUUUGGAUCAUAUCCGUUCGAGUUAAUUCCCAGUUCAAAUCAAAUUCGAUUUCAGAUCAUAUCGAGCUCAUAUUAACAGUGUUGGAUUAUUUUUGUAAUCAAAUGAAACCAUUUAUAAUUUGUNNNNNNNNNNNNNNNNNNNNNNNNNNNNNNNNNNNNNNNNNNNNNNNNNNNNNNNNNNNNNNNNNNNNNNNNNNNNNNNNNNNNNNNNNNNNNNNNNNNNUUCUAAAUUCAAACCAAAAACCUAUCACAUCAAUCACAAUUUUUUAAAAAUAAAUACCUAAACUGACCAAAAAUAGCGUUAUGUAUGUUAACUGCUUUGGGUGUUGAGAACCAUUAACAAAAUAUACAUACUUUUCUCUGAUUGUGAAUUUAAUUUACAUAAGAAAUGUGCUGAGCUACCUCUGGAGAUGAGUCGUAUGUGCCAUACACAACGUCCUCUGGUUUUGCAAUUCAAUAGCGAACGACUCCUUGCCAGUAUUUUAGGCUAAAAUGAAACACCAAUCAGGUUCUUAUUGAUAGCCAAGGACAAAAGUAGGAUUCUUUUGAGGCUAUUUCUACUGAAUUGGUACAUUUGUUUAGUAAUACUCUUGACACUGUGGAUAUUCUGCUAAAUUUUUUCAAGCUACUUGGGGUAUAGCUGGGAAGGAUUUCAUGGAGGCUGUGAAGUAUUGUUUUUCUUAAGUAGAAAGAUGCUAAAUUCAUUUUGAUUCUAAUCAUAUUUGAAAUCUGCGGCUUCAUUUUCCGGAAAACUCAAAAUAGGAAAACAGAGUUUGAUCUUUGCCUUAUUACUUAUGAUAUUAGUUGUUUAUAUAAUAAUCUGAAGUUGCAUUGGAAUUUGAUUAGUACUUUAGAAUUUUAUAUAAUUUGAGAGUGUGAUUGUUGGAUGCUUGUCUUUGUUUCUUUAUAUAUGCUUAUUUGAAAAUACAAGUUUGUCUGAAACUAUUGUCUCUCCUCUUAAUAUUAUAUUACAUAUUACAUAAAUACAUGGCACAUGCUACUCAGCUCCAACCCCAAUACCACUCUAAUUACAAUGAUUAUUUUAUAGUGAAAUCAGUCUAAUUAACGUUAACCAAUGCUUACUUCAUUACAAUCCUUGAUGUAAAAUGAGCUCAAAUUAUGGUACACGUAUACAUAUGGUGUAUUGCAUAAUAUAAUAUGGGAAUUUCGAAAUAAAACAACGAAGGAUUCAUAAAUAUCAAAUCAACCCACCAUGAAAAGCAAGUGUAACCUUGAAUAAAAGCAUCGACUGGCUAAUUGAGUUCACCUCUGUUUACUAUAACCGUCCCUCUUCCUCUGCCUCCAAAUAUCAAAUGCUCUCCCACUUCCUCAAUCUUUAUCUUUCUUCACUUGUAUUCUUGUUUUCCCAUUGACACUUGGCUCCCAAAAUCAAGCUUUUUCCUUUAUUUAUAUUGCUCGGGGAAGCAACAAUGGAGGGGUCUAACAAUUAUGGCCACCAACAUCCCCUGCUUCUUAUCUUGAAUCAAGAUCAGCUGCUGAAUGUAGCUAAGUGCUCAAGGUGUCGCGACAAGGUGUCAACUCCAUGUUUUGGCUGUGCCGAGGAUUGUGGGUUUUACCUUCACAAGGUAUGUGCUGAGGCACCUUUGGAGCUUAAUCACCCUUUUCAUCCUCAUCAUCCUCUUCUUCUUAUGCAAAAUGCACCUUAUCCUGGAGGGUACAUUUGCAAUUUUUGCAAUAAAUCUGGUCGCAAGUCUGUUUAUCGCUGCUCUACUUGUGAAUUGGACUUUCAUAUUAAAUGUGCUUUGUUUACAUUUAAUAUUGCUGAGAAUAAUUUGAAAGAGCUUGACCAUGUUGCCCUUCAAGUUGAAGAACUUGAAGAUGAUAGUAAGUGCUUCGGGUGUCGGGAACCAUUAGCAAAGUAUACACACUUUUCUCCUAACUGUGGAUUUAAUUUACAUGAGAAAUGCGCUGAGCUUCCCUUCAAACUGAAUCUUGUGUGCCAUCGCGAACAUCCUCUUGUUCUACAAUUUAAUAGCCAACGGCUCUCUUGCAAGAUAUGCAGAGAAAUCAAUGUAGAAGCUAUAGGAUUUGUUUAUGGUUGUUCUCCUUGUACGUUUGUUGUUCACAUUGAAUGUGCAUCGCAAUCACCAUUGCAAGUUAUUAAGAGUACAAAUCAUGAACAUCCAUUUACCUUGUUUAACGGUCACCAACAUCCCCUGUUUCUUAUGUUAAAUCAAGAGCAGCUGAUGGACAAUCAAAGGGGUGUAACUGAUUGCUCGAGGUGUGGGGAGAAGGUGUCUGCUCCAUGUUUUUGCUGUGCGGAGCACUGUGGGUUUUAUCUUCAUAAGGUAUGUGCCAAGGCACCUUUGGAGCUUAAUCACCCUUUUCAUCUCAACCAUCCUCUUCUUAUGCAAAAUGCACCUUAUUCAUCUGGAAUGUACAUUUGCAAUUUUUGCAAUAAAUCUGGUCACAAGUCUGUUUAUCGCUGCUCUACUUGUGAAUUGGACUUUCAUAUUAAAUGUGAUUUGUUUACAUUUAAUAUUGCUGAGAAUAAUUUGAAAGAGCUUGACCAUGUUGCCCUUCAAGAUGAAACACUUGAAGAUGAUAGUAAGUGCUUUGGGUGUUGGGAACCAUUAGCAAAGUAUACACACUUUUCUCCGGACUGUGGAUUUAAUUUACAUGACAAAUGCGCCGAGCUUUCUUUCAAACUGAAUCUUGAGUGCCAUCGCGAACAUCCUCUUGUUCUACAAUUUUAUAGCGAACAACUCUCUUGCAAGAUAUGCUGCCAGGAAACAAGGCGAAUAGGAUUUUUUUAUGGUUGUUCUCCCUGUAAGUCUGUUGUUCACAUUGAAUGUGCAUCACAAUCACCAUUACAAGUUAUUAAGAGUACAAAUCAUGAACAUCCAUUUACCUUGUUUAACGGGCACCAACAUCCCCUGUUUCUUAUGUUGAAUCAAGAGCAGCUGAUGGAUAAUCAAAGGGGUGUAACUGAUUGCUCGAGGUGUGGGGAGAAGGUGUCUGCUCCAUGUUUUUUCUGUGCAGAGCACUGUGGGUUUUAUCUUCAUAAGGUAUGUGCCGAGGCACCUUUGGAGCUUAAUCAUCCCUUUCAUCUCAACCAUCCUCUUCUUAUGCAAAAUGCACCUUAUUCAUCUGGAAUGUACAUUUGCAAUUUCUGCAAUAAAUCUGGUCACAAGUCUGUUUAUCGCUGCUCUUCUUGUGAAUUGAACUUUCAUAUUAAAUGUGCUUUGUUUACAUUUAAUAUUGCUGAGAAUAAUUUGAAAGAGCUUGAGCAUGUUGCCCUUCAACAUCCAUUGAUUCCCACUGAAAAUAGUGAUGAAAAACUAAAAGAUGUUUCUAAGUGCUUUGGGUGCCGGGAACCAUUACCAAAUUAUACACACUUUUCUCCUUGCCGUGGAUUUAACUUACACGAGAAAUGCACUGAGAUUCCUUUCAAAUUGAAUCAUAUGUGGCAUCGCAAGCAUCCUCUUGUCCUACAAUUUAGUAGCGAACGGCUCUCUUGCAAGAUAUGCUGCCAGGUAACAAAGCGAAGAGGAUUUGGUUAUGGUUGUUCUCCUUGUAAGUUUGUUGUUCACAUUGAAUGUGCAUCACAAUCACCAUUACAAGUUAUUAAGAGUACAAAUCAUGAACAUUCAUUCACCUUGUUGUUGAGACAAGUUCCAUUCACAUGUGAUGGGUGUGGCACUGAAGGAAAUCAUGUUGCCUAUACAUGUUGUACAUGCAACAUUAUAAUCCAUAAAAAUUGCAUUUCAUUGCCUCGCAUUAUCAAAAGUAAGUGGCAUGACCAUCGCCUUCUUCACACAUAUUUCCAUCACAUAGAAGAUUUUAGGGUUUUGAGGUGCCUAAUAUGCCAUUAUCUAGUCAAUACAGAGCAUGGUAGUUACUAUUGUUCAAAGUACAAUGGUAUAUUCCAUGUGAAGUGUGUAAUGAAGGAUAAAGAUUCAUAUGAAAUAGUAGAAAAUGAAGAUGAGAUUGAGAUGCCCAUUGAAAGUUCCAUCAUUAUUAUUGAGAGCAACGAUGCUGGAGAAGCUACAAAAAUAAAGCAUUUCAAGCAUAUGCAUAAUCUAAUGUUAGGUCCCUUUGUUGGAGGAUAUGAAAAUAGUUGCGACGGGUGUAUGUUGCCAAUCUCGGAUCCGUUUUACUACUGUUCAGAAUGUGCUUUUUUUCUUCAUAAAGCGUGUGCCGAGUUACCUAAGAUGAAGAACGUUUGGCAUCAUGGUUGCAAAGAGCCCCUAGCCCUUAUUUCUGACAAAGCUUUUCUGUGUCGACGAUGUUGGUACGUAACUAAUGCCUUUGCUUAUGAAUGUUGUGGAUGUGAGGGAAAAAUAUGUCUCCGAUGUGUGAUUGCUCUUACUCCUGGUGCUCGAACAUGUUUGAAACAUGAACACCCCCUCUUUUACUACCCAAAGCACAAUGGGAAAUGCAAUGCUUGUGGUAGGACUACACAGGCGGCAUUCUGUUGUAAGGAUUGCAAUUUUGUGCUACAUCUUCGUUGUUUUUCACUUCCAAUUACAGCUCAUCAUAAAUGUGAUGAGCAUCUUCUUUCACUCACAGAUCAUGAUGAUAACAAAUAUUUAGAAAGUCAUCAUUGUGAUAUCUGUGAAGAAAGUCGAGAUUCAAAACUUUGGUUUUAUAAUUGUUCAACAUGUGAUACUUCUGCUCAUGUUAAUUGUGUUCUUAGACGAUAUCCAUUCCUCAAACUCGGGAGCAUUCAUGAAGGAAAUGAUCAUCCACACCCACUCACCAUUGUGAAGAAGUAUUACUACCCAGAUUGUGAUAAAUGCGGUAAGCCUUGUGAAGGUAUGGCUCUUGAAUGCUCAAAGUCGGAAUGUAAAUUUAUUGUCCACUGGAAAUGUGAAGUAGACUCUUAUCUAUGGGGUUGGUGAGUGUGGCACAAGCGGGCAAUUCAGAUGUAAUCAUAUUUGAAACCUGCCACUUCAUUUGCAGGAAAACUCAAGGCUGAAAAACAGGGUUUGAUGUUUGCCUGGUUACUUGUGAUAUUAAUUAUUGUUGUAACUGUAAUUUGGUUUUUUCGACUUUUUAAGUUAGAAAUAAAUGUCAUGUAAAAAUCUGAGCUGAAACUUGUGAGGUUUGAUUGUUGAUUUUAGAACUUCUUAUAAUUUGGGAGUGUGAUUGUGCUUACAAUAAUAAGCUUCUCUUUGUUAGAUGCUUCUCUUUGUUUUCGUAUAUAAGCUUUUUCUGAAAUUAGUUAGCUCAAUGUAUUAGAUAAGGUAAGAAAGGAGCUGUCUCCUUCAAAAAACCAAACAUGUCUUUUAAUGAUAUAUUUCGCAUAUUAAAAUUUUAUUGCGGAAUUUAUGAAGCUUCAUCAUAACUUAACCCAAUUAUUGUCUUACCAAAUAAUUUUGGAAACAAAAGAUUCAACAGCCUCCGUAAUCUUUCAAUCUCCCUUCUGUAACAGAUAAACUGAAAUUACUACAGUCCCAAAUAAAAUUGAAGGAUUCGUGUAUUCUUUUUUUUUAUCAUCCACACAAUUCCACAACAGCUCAAACCAGUAAUCAAUGGAAGGAGUGAUUAUGGCCCAAACACUGCAAUAGCUUAACCAAGAAUGACAAUAAACAUGGAUCCCAUCUGCCCGCUUCUACUUUGGGAUUCCAGUCCCCACACCUAACGUUUUAGCUAUUUUCCCAUCUCUUUUUUACUCUCUUAUAUCACAACCUUGUACCUAAUUUCCUUACUGUCUUGUCUGGGAUGGUGUUGGAGUUUUAGGGAAGUUGAGAGAACAAAAUCCAGAGAAAACAAAGAACAAUAUUGGAGCAUAUGAAGCAGAUGCGAGCAGUGGCUGGGAAGCCUAUACUGCGCUCAAAAUUGGUGACAUUCCUAGACGAAACUAUAAAGAUUAAGAGCCAAGGUAAGGUGACUAGUCUGCUGACAGAUCUGGUGGGGAUGGUGAUCGCUCUCGACGGUGAACAGGUAUGCAAAAUGGCAAAAAAUCCCACGAAGAACGGGGAUCACGAAUUUACAUGGAACAAAUCAUAAUGAUGCAGCAAUUAAUAAAAAUUUUUGAAUGAAAUUUACAUAUGGUCAAAUCUUUAGAGUGUGUUAAUCAAAAAUCAACAUUAAAAUAAUAAAUAAAUAUUAAGAUAUGGAAUCAAAUUAAAAUUUGAGCAUUUCAGGGGGUUAAUAUAUGAUUUAAAAAAAUUUCUCAAAAUUAUCUAAACUCAAGUGUCAAAUUCAAAUAAAAAUUCGAAAUGAUUCGAAUCAAUAUACUCAAUGACCCAAACCCGAAAAGCUAAUCCUACUAAUACGAAUCUAUAUCUGACCAACCUAGCUUGACCAUAAAAAUUAACAAUUUGAAUCAGAAAUAACAAUAACACAAAAUGAUUUAAACUAGUCCGAAUCCCAAACCCAAGAUUCUUCAAAUUCUCAAAUUUAAAAUAUUCGAAUCAUUUUAGUUCGGGUUAGUUUCACGUUCAAAUCAAUUUCAAUUUCGGACCAUUUCAAAUUUGAUCAUUUUAGACUCAUAUUGAAUGGAGUUGCAUUAUUUUUUUAGUCAAAUCGGGUUUUAAAAUUCCUGGAUCAUAUUGGUUCGGGUUAGUUUCAAGUUCAAAUCUUUUAGGUUCAAGACAUUCGGUUUCGGAUAAUUUCGGGCUCAUAUUGAACGGUGUUGGAUAUUUUUUUAGUCAAAUCGAGUUUAAAAUUUCCAAAUCAUUUUGGGCUCAUAUUGAAUGGUGUUGGAUUAUCUUUUUUUGUCAAAUCAGGUUUUGAAAUUUCCAGAUCAUUUUGAUUUGGGUUAGUUUCAAGUUUAAAUCAAUUUUGAUUUCGGAUUUCAUCAUUUCAAGUUCAUAUAGAAUGGUGGUGGAUUAUUUUUUAAACAAAUCGGAUUUUAAAAUUUUUAGAUGAUUUUCGUUCGAGUUAUUUCCUGGUUCAAAUCAAAUUCGAUUUCAAAUCAUUUCGAGCUCAUAUUUAACCGUGUUGGAUUAAUUUUUUUUAAUCAAAUCAAACCAUAUAUAAUUUGUAUUCAAUUUGAAUAAAUCGAAUUUCUAAAUUCAAAUCAAAAUUAACCUAUCACACCAAUCACAAUUUUUUUUUAAAAAUAACUAAACUGAACCGAAUUGAAAUCAACCCCGAAUAUCUCUCCUAUAAAUUACUAGCCACUUUGUAAAUCUAGAUCUCUUUCCAUAGUAUUCAUUACCAAGGAAAAUGGCGACGGGUGGCAUGGAUGAAGCAAGCAACAUGAAGGUGGUACUGAAACACUACGUAUCUGGUUCACCACAAGAAACCGAUAUGCAUUUGACAGCCGGAACCAUCAAACUCAAAGUACCAAAGGAUUCUAAUUCCAUUAUCCUCAAGAAUCUUUAUCUCUCAUGCGAUCCCUACAUGAUCUUCAAAAUGAUGAAGCUCGAAAGACAAUUAACAGAUCCUUACGUCCUCGGUUCGGUAAUUUUAAACACUUCCUUUCAUCUUCAUCAUCGUUAUCGUAAUCAAGUUUUAUUAUGUUUUGAUAUGUUUUCUUGUUUACCGUUUUGAAAAAAAUCAAAAUUUUGAUAUUUGAAUUUCAACAUCCGUUAAAAUGAAUCAUUGGAUGAUCGUAAAAAACUGAAAUGUGAUUGAUUUUUGUUUGGAUUUAGCCUACAAAUUCUCAACUACGUUGUCAAAGAUCCGACAUUGUUUCAGUAAGUGUAGAAACUAAUUAAGCCUCAUAAAUUUCUAUCACCUUUUCAUUAUUAGCAAUGGAUAUUUUUAACACUGCGUCGAGUAUCAAUUCUUUGCAAUAUAGAAAAUAAAAGCUGGAAGAGCUUUCCACAAUAAUUUAGAGUCCAAUGAGGGGGCAAGCAGGGGCUCUCCCAUCCCUAAAAUAAGAAAUUGUUGCUUUAGACUCCUCAAAAUUUAUAAAAUCGUAAGUUAAUAUAUAGUUUGGACCUCCGAAAAUGUUAGAAUUUUGGUUUAGUUCUAUGUGAAACUACAUUUUAACUCUUAUAAAAAUAUAUAACUUAGUUUCGGCCUCUUAAAGCAGAUACUGAUUAAAUAACUUUUAGACUCCUUGGAAAUUUAUAAAAUUAUAAAUUAAUAUAGUGAUAAUUUUAUCUUUUAACAUCUUCGAAUUAUUUAUAUUCUAUUCUAGUCCUCUAAAAUUUUCAACCAUUGCAUUGACAUUGGGUCUUAAAUAAAAAUAAAAAUAAAAACUACCCAAAGAGUGCCUUUUUACACUAGGUUCUCUUUUCUUCUUUUUUUUUUGAAUUACAAGAGGAGGGCAAGGUCCUAAUAGCAACGUGACUACCACAACUCGAACCCAAGUCACACCUAGGACGAUAAAUACUUUACCCAUCAGGCCAACACACAAGAUUCUUUUUACACUAGGUUCUUUAAUUUCAUUGCAAAAAGUGAACCAAAAAAUAACACUUCAUCAAAAUUUUUUAAAAUUAAAUUUAUUUAACUUCAUUUUUAAUGAUAUGUAAUCAUCGAUAGCGUCGGUAUGCAUAUUAUUAGUAAUUUGGAUAUACGGACUAAUUUUAGCUCGAAUUUGCAGCCUAUAACUGGAUAUGGAGUGGCUAAAGUUUUGGAUUCAGCACAUCCUGGCUUUGCAAAGGAUGAUUUGGUGUGGGGAAUAACUGGUUGGGAAGAGUAUAGUCUAAUUUCAGACCCUAAAAAUUUCUUUAAAAUCCAACAUACCGAUGUACCUCUUUCCUAUUAUGCUGGAAUUCUUGGUAACUAUCAAUUCUCUUCUAUCUUAGGUUAAGGUUGUUCGGGAUUGAAUUGUUCUCUUCUAUCUAUAUACGUGUUAUAAUGUCAUUAGUUAGUCAAAAUACUUAAAAUCAUUAAAUGUUCAUGUUAAAUCGUUGAUAUUGAUUUGUCCUUAAAAAUAAUCCUUCCAACAAAUAAAAGGUUCACAAUAGAUAGUAUGGUGAGUUGGAGGGGGUGUUUUUAAGAAGAGAAAAAGCCAUGUCAGCAACAUUUUAAUCCGAAUAGAUAAGUAUUUGAACUAAUCAAUAACAUCAAAAAAUAGAAAUGCUAAACUGUGUUAAAUUAAAGUAUGAGGUUUAAAUUUAAAUUUUGAGCAUAGUAGAAGGAUCAAAACGUCAAAGGGAAAGAAAUGGUUAAAUUCUACUAUUAGUCCCUAUACUUUGUUAAAGUUAUGGAUUUAGUCUUUAUACUUUUAUUUGAUCAAUUUUAGUCCUAAUACUUUUCAAAUUUGAAACUUUAGUCUUGACCCAAACAAUAGUAGUUAAAUUCGUAGUUAAAUUCAAUUACUAGUUCUACACCAUGCGUACAAUUGUAGAUUUAGUUCAUUUUCUCUAAUUGGAUCAUUCUAAAUCUUAUACUUUUCAAAUUUGAAAUUCCAAUCUUGACACAAAUGACAAUCAUUAAUCCGUGAACUAGAUUUUUAGUGAGUAAUAUUUGGAAAUAAUAAGCUGACAUAGCAUUAUACAUAUAUAUGAUAAUAAGUUUGGUACAUCAGAUUUUGGAAAUAGCAUAACUUAAUAAAAGAAUGUAACCAAAGAAAAUCUAAGAACAUAUAAGAACAAAUGCAUAAAAGAGGGAAUUGAUAUAUAAUAAAGUAUGUUAAUUAGACUCCGCGUGAGUGUUGAAUAUGGUUAUGUAAUAUUGAUAAUAAAUGUAAGAUGGUUAAUAGGUAUGCCUGGGAUAACAGCAUAUAUUGGUUUCUAUGAGCUUUGUGCUCCAAAGAAAGGAGACUAUGUGUUUGUUUCAGCAGCAUGUGGUGCAGUUGGUCAGCUAGUGGGGCAAUUUGCCAAGCUCCAUGGUUGCCAUGUUGUUGGAAGUGCUGGUAGCCCAGAGAAGGUAGCCCCUUUGCAUGUUAUUCCUAUUAUUUUCAGGGUUAUACUAUUUGAUAUCUGUAUUUGGCUGAAAUGUUCAAUUUGGUACCCAGAUCAAUCAGCAUUAUGUAUGCUUUAGCAAAUAAAACAUAGGUGCUUAAUUAUGACAAAAAGUUCAGGUGCUGAAUUGAACACUGAAGCUAAACUCAGGUCUUUAAUUGGAACAAAAAACAUAAGUAUUGAAUUGAAUAUUAAAACUAAACUCAGAACAACCUAUAUUCAUUUAUGAUAAAAGAGAAAACAUUUUUCAAUUGGAUUGUUAUUGCAUUUGAAAGAAUAGAGGACGUUGAGUCUGAAUACUAUUGUUUCCUUUAUGGUCUAAUUCUAGUUCUAGUCCCUCUAUUAUGUUAAAAUUUGGAUUUAAUCCCUUUAAUUUGCCCUAAUUCUUUUUUUUUAUCUUAUGAUGUUAUUAGUAGGUAGAAAUUGAUUUUUUUGGCCAUGUAGGUAGAAAUUGAUAAUACCAUUAGUUGAUGUGGUUAAAGUGAUGUCAUGGAUUUUUAAAAAAAUAGGAUUAAGCAUUCGAUUUAUAUGUAAUUUUAUUAUCAAAUGAGGUUAAAAUAUGAUCCAAGUCCUUAUACUCUUGUACAUUUGAAAUUUAGUCCCUUAGUUUUCAAUUUUAAAAAUUUAAGUCCAAUUAUUAACACUAUUAAAAUCCUUUUAAAUUUAUAGGUGUGACAUUUUGAAAUUUAAAAAAAGAAACUCAUUUUAUAGCCUUGGAACAAAAAAAAAUGACGUUAUAAUGGACCUUAUUACAUUUUUAAAUUCAAAAAGUAGAGGGUUAAAUUUCUGAAAAUAUAAGUAGGGGACUAAAUUUCAAAUAUACGAAUAGUACAGAGACUUGGAGCAUAUUUUAACCUAUUGAUUGAAAAUGGUUAUCUAGGAUUCUAAAUUGAUAGCAUUGCUAGUUAACAAAUAAAAGUUUGAAAAAAUCCAUGUCAUCACUUUAUGAUGGCAACUAACUAUGGUUAAAAAUUGAGACCAAAUUACAUCAAAUUAAUGUAAAGGGAUUAAAUCCCAAAUUUCAGCAUAGUAGAGAGACAAAAAUCAUAAUUAGCCUUUUUUUUCACUUCUUCAAUUUAAGGUUGGUAUCUUGAAGAACAAAUUUGGUUUUGAUGAGGCUUUCAACUAUAAAGACGAGCCCGACUUCGAUGCAACAUUGAAAAGGUUAGUAACGCACAAUUUCUGACAUUCAUGCUCGAAUCCAAGCACCGUAAUCGAAAUCUAACGUCGACCCUUUAUUUUCGAAACAGGCAUUGUCCCGAAGGCAUUGACAUUUACUUCGACAAUGUCGGCGGCAAGAUGCUAGACGCGGUGCUACUCAACCUGAGACCCCAUGCCCGCAUUGCGGUGUGUGGCAUGAUCUCGCAAUACAACAGAGAACAACCCGACGGAGUCCAGAAUUUGUCGUCGAUGGUAUCGAAAGAAGCUCGAAUGCAAGGCUAUCUAGCGACAAACUACUACCAUCUUUACCCCAAAUACCUGGAAAUGAUAUUGCCAUUGAUCAAAGAAUCCAAAGUAGUGUAUGUUGAAGAUGUUGCUGAUGGCUUGGAAAAUGCUCCCAAAGCGCUCGUUGGGAUCUUUAGUGGCCGUAAUAUUGGUAAACAAGUGGUGGCUGUUAAUUGCUUGUAAUCGAAAUUUUAGAUCGAAACACUUUAUUUAUAAUUUGGCCCUUAAAGUAUAUUCGAUUUUUCACUUUGAUAUAUGAAUUAUCAUUUUCAUAUUAUUUUACCUCUAAAAUUAUUGUCGCACAAUAAAAAUAUGCUACAUGUCAUGUUCUUAUUGUUAAUUUUUUAUUUUUGGGGUAAACUAAGAUGGAAAGGAUAGUUCAUUUACCAAAGUGGGACAAACGUUUUAGAUGCUAAAAUGGGAAAAUGAACAUAAUUUAAGGGUCAAAUCGUGGAUUAAGCUAAAUCAAAAUAUGGACACUUUUGGGCUGGAACUUAUUUUUGAAUGUAUUUUUUAUUUCUAAAUUUAUUUCAUUAGGAAAAAAAAGCAUAAGUUAAUUUAAUUUUGCUUGUGGAAUUUUUGUUUUUAUUUUUGUUUUUUGAAGAAAAUACUUUUAUUAAUAGAAAUCAUGAACGAUAUGAAUAUAAAGGCACAACAUAUGGUACAAAUAAUAAAUAAGACACUACAAACUGAUGUUCAACAAAGCCUACAAAAAAAAUCCCCCAAAAGGAGAAAGGGAAUCUGAUAAUAAUAGCAACACUUGAAGAAUUCAGAAACAAACCAGAGAUGUAUCACAUGGAUCAAACCAUUGAAAUUUGCAUACUAGCCUUGCCAUUAUCAGACCUAGUUGACGAUGAACUUUAGCCAACCAAAAAACCAUUGUCAAGAGCCUGAAGAGAUCCACCACAUCAACGAUGCAUAAAAAAGCACUACAGCAAAAUGUAGAAUUAAUAGUGAUUUACAGCAGCGUUUAUGGCAAAAAAUGCGACGACCAUAUAUAUUUAGCGAUGACUAUAUGUAUAAACACGACAGUGGAUGUAUUUCCAAAUUGUAGGAAUAAUUUUCGGGCGAAAAUCAUUCACGGGAAUACUAUAGCGGUGUUUAUAUUACGAAAUGUUGUUGUAUGCAUGUUUGAACAAUUAACGACAUUUGUUGGUGUAAAUGCCGCAAAAUAUAGCAAAUAAAUAAAAAAAGACAAAUUGAAGUUCAGUUUUGUUAUGUUCAGCGGAACCUAUCGCAGUGUGGGGUGUCUGCGGAAUAGUCCACCAUUUUUGUGUAUCCGCAAUUUCGUCAUUUAAAUUUCUAUACUUAGUUGAAUAAUUCGUUGGAGCAAUCUGUCACCUAUUAGUCUGCGACAUGAUCCGCCAUGUAUGCUUAAUGUAUAUGAAUGUUUUGAGUUUUGCGUUGUAACCUCCUAUAACUCAGGUCCGACGAACAGACCGAGUAAGGGGUGUUACUGAUUCAAUCUAAAAAGACUCAGUCAAAAAGUAAAAUCAACUUAUUACAACACAAUUUACUUAAAAACAAGAAUGUUCAAAUUAUUAUAAACAAAUCAAAUUAUUACAAUACAAUUUGUUUAAGGAUCGAAAUGUUCAAAUAAUUGUAAAACUGAAACAAUCCAAACUAAAACUAUUUAACUGAAUUAAAACUCAACAUACAAUUGCAUCUCAGACCUCAAAUGUUUGUUAAGAACUAAGGCACAAUUUUUUUUUUUGGAUACAUAUGUCUAGAAUUACUUAUAGUCCUUCCUCAACCCUUUAAUAGGAGGAUAAAUAUAUUUCAACACGCUCGAGUCCACAUCUUUCUAUAAAGACAACAAUAUCAAUACCAACCAAAUUAGAAUUCAGUCAGCAAUUAAGUCGCACUUAAAACGGUACAAUUCUCAUAGAGAACAUAUUGAGAUUUUAGGACCCCACAUUAUCAUCUAUGUCGACCUCCCUUUUUUUUGUCAAAUACUUUUUUUCUUCUUAUCACUAAAGAAAAUCACAACUUUUAGAUGAUGAUGAUGAUGGAAAUUUUUCUUUUAACUUUUAUAUCUUUAUAAUUUCAAUUAUUUUUUUAAAGUUUAUAUAUAUUUUUAAUUUCCAAUGAUGAUAUGAUAUAAUCUAAAAGUAUUAUAUCAUCACAUUUUACGGGCAUUAGAAAAGGUUAGAUUAUGCCAUUAGUCCAUGUACUUUGUAAAAGUUGUGAAUUCUAUUUCUAGCCCUCACCAAACAGUAGUUGUUAAAUUAUGCUAUUUUUAAAAUCUAAUGCAGCAAGCAUAUUAUCAUAUGCAUAAUGUCAUGUCAACUUAUUAUUUUCAGAUAUUUUUAACUAAAAAUCCUAUUAAUGGAUUGAAGACUACCAUUUGCGUCAAGACAAAAAUUUAAAAUUUGAAAAAGUAUAAGGAAUUAGAAUUAUCCAAUUGGGUAGUAUGGGCUAAAUUUACAGCUAUACGUAAGUACAAGACUAGUUAUUAAUUUAACCGCACAAGUUUAACUAUCAUUGUUUGGGUAACGACUAAAAUUUCAGGAUUCGAAAAGUAUAGGGACUAAAAUUGAUCAAAUUAAAAUAUAAAGAUAAAAUUCACAAAUUUUAAAAUGUACAAGGACUAAUAGCAAAAUUUAACCUUAAAAAGACAAAAGAUGUGAUGCAAUCCAAAUUCGGGAACCAACCUAAAAAAAAAAUCAACAAACAAACUUUAAAUAUCAACUUGAGAAAAGUUGCUACGUUCAAGAGCUAAAUGUUGCUUUAUCCCUUAAUCAUAUGAAAAAUAAUUAUCUAAUUUUGAAUUUCACCCUUCAACUUUAUGAAAAUUGAUAAGUUAAUCUCUGAUCCUUGAACUUUAAGAAAACUAAGAAAUUAGUCCAUUUUGGUAAUAAAUGAAACUUUUGCACUUUUGGCCCCUCAAAAAAAAGUUAAUAAUUUAAUUUAAUCUCUUUUGACACAAUUUUAACUUUGAUCCGUAAAAUUUUAUAAUUUUAUCUCAACCUCACACCAUAAAUUUUUUAGCUUCGUCUUUAGGUCCCCCCUCUCCUUUCUUCCCAGGGUAAACAAGUUGUCACAUUUAAAGGUCGGGUAAAUUAUAGUAUAGGUCAUCCAACUAUGGUUUUUUUUCUUUUUGGUCAUCCAACUAUAAAAAGUUACAAAAUGAUCAUUCAACUAUUCAAUUUUUGUCUUUUUUAGUAACCCCUUGGCUAACAUAAAAAUAAAAACACCCAAAAAUCCUAUAGUUAGAUGGCCCAAGAAAGUAAUGAAUUCAAACUAAAUAUAUUUUAAAAUUAGAGUUAAAUAUUAUAAAUUGAUUAACCACAUAAUCUUUACUAUAUAUAUUACCAGAUAUAUAUAAUCAAUUAAUUAGCAUUAUUUUUGAAAUUUAAAGAUUACAAUAUGCUCCAAGUUUCUAUACUAUUGGCAUAUUUAGAAUUUAGUCCCUAUAUUUUUUUUAAAUUUAGUCAUUUUACUUUUUAAAUUUAAAAAUUCAAAUAUAGUUGUUAACACUGUUAAAAUUCACGCCAGUAUUUUAAUUAGAAUAAAAUAUCUAGGUUAACUAAUGGCAAUAUAAAGGUUGAGGUACUGAAUUAUGUCAAAAGUUAAAAUAUAAAGAUUAAAUCUCAAAUUUAAAUAAAAGAUAGGGACUGAAAUUAAAUUUUAACUAUUUUUUUAUAUUCCAAAAAAUAAAAAGAAUAUAUAUAUAUAUAUAUAUAUAUAUAUAUGGUAAGACAUUAGUUUAUAUGGUAAAAUAUUAUAGAUAGUAAUAUCAUAUAUUUAUCAUUGAUCAUUUAUAGUAAAAUAUAAAUAAAUAUAUGGUAAUAUAUAUAUGGAAACAUAGAAAUACGCAUAAUGGAAAAAAUCAUAUCAAAUCUAAUGUAUCAAAGUUUCCUAAUUUAUUAUUUUUGAAGUUAGGAAUAUAUUAUUUAUCUUUUAAAAAAUAUAAUUUUAUUUUUAAAUGAAUUACCAUUUUAUAUACUGUUAGUGGAGUAAAAAAUGCUACAAACGAGUUUAGGUUGGCUUCUAUUCACUUUUAUGUUUGUCCAAACUCGACCUGAUCUAGGCUUAAAAUUUUGCCCAAAUUUAUCUAUAUUUGUAAAAAAUUGAUGCAAGUCCAUUUUAGGCUCACCUAUAUUGUUUUUAAAAAAUUAUUUAAUAAGUUUAUAUAUUUUUUAUUUAUUAAAUUUUUUUAUAAUCAUCUUAACAUUAUUUUAAUGUUUUCAUUAGAGUAGUAUUAUAUAUUUAGUAUAAAUUUAUUUUUUAAAUAUGUUCUGAAUUACAUAAAUUAUAAAAAUAACAUAAUAUAAAGAAUUAUAAACUUAAAAAUGGGUUGAGUCGAGUUAAGUUUGGGCCUUAAAUAUUUAAACUCGAGCCCAACUUAUAUUUUAAACGAAUUUAUUUUUUUAUUUAAAUUUAUAUUUCAAACCUAUUUUUUUUUAAACCCUCUAAAAUGUCAAACCGCCUUUAAAUCUGGAUAAAUGACCCGAACAUCAACGGUUAAUAGAUUCCCUCUGACAAAAUAUCUUCCCAAAAGGUUUCCCUCUAAAAUAAUAUCUUCCCAACUGUACCUUCCUUUUUUUUAUCAAUUAUUUUCUUUGAAAUAAGCACCCGAUGAUUUCCAUCUUUUUAACUUUUGCCAUUAAAGCCUCACUCUUUUUUUCUUAAAACCUUCAAUUUUUUUAUUUUUUUUUUAAUUUAGUUUCAAGCAACAAAAAUGGCUGAUGAAGCGUUAGUGAAGAACAAGCAAGUGGUUCUCAAGAACUAUGUGAAUGCCGGCUUGCCCAAAGAAUCAGAUAUGGAAAUUAAAGAAAAAAGCAUUCAAUUGAAAGUUCCGGAAGGGACUAAAGAUUCAAUUUUAGUGAAAAAUCUCUACUUAUCUUGCGAUCCUUACAUGAGGAAUCGUAUGAAGAAGCUCGAAGAUUCGUAUGUGCCGUCUUUUGAGCCCGGAUCGGUGAGUUUCAUGAAUCUGAACUGAAAAAAAAAUUCCCUUUUUUCCCAUGUUUUUCGAGGAUGUUCAAUUUUGAUCUGUUUUUUUUUUAGUAAAUAGGUUUUGUUUGAUGACUUUGCUGGUACGGUUUAUAAGAAGCUUGGUGGGGGAAUUUAAUGAGAAUUUCAAAAAGAAAAAAAUUUGGAGGGUUUAAUUAGAAUUUUAGCUCAAAUCAAGGUUUAUAGUUCCCAAUGGUGAGUUCUGGCUGUUUAGGAUUGAGUUCCCAAUGUUGCAAUUUGUCAACCGAGCUCGUAACAUAAUGAUAAAGCCUUGGUUAACAUCAGAUCUUGAUCCGUGGACACCUACUCUCAUAAUCAAUUUCAAGCAAUAAAAGAUCAACAUUUUAUCAAACAAUGCCUUAAUUUACCCUUUUAACUAUUUACAUUACGCAGGCUAUAUCCGGUUACGGAGUGGCCAAAGUCGUGGAUUCGACUCAUCCGGAAUACAAAAACGGCGAUCUCGUGUGGGGGAUGACCGGUUGGGAAGAGUAUUCUCUCUUAACGGCGCCUGGUCUUUUGUUCAAAAUUCAACACACAGAUGUGCCUCUCACCUACUAUACUGGACUUCUUGGUAAGUUGAUACUUGGACUCGAUUGCUGAGUGUCAGAUAUAUGUAUGUACGACACAAAGUCGAGUCGCAUGGUUUAGAUUCUUGCCACUUAUAUGAUCUGGGUUAUGUUUCAUGGUUAGUAAUAGUUUAAUCUUGAUAACUUAAUAAGAACAUACUUGUGCUCGUUUGAUUGUUCAUUGAUUUCAUCAUUAUAGGUAUGGCUGGUAUGACUGCUUAUACUGGUUUUUACGAAAUCUGCACCCCUAAGAAAGGGGAAUAUGUCUAUGUAUCGGCUGCAUCCGGAGCAGUUGGUCAGCUUGUCGGGCAAUUUGCGAAAUUGUUAGACUGCUAUGUUGUCGGAAGUGCCGGAAGCAAAGAGAAAGUAAGUUCUCGGUUUUGUCAUUUAUUCCUCCAUUUCUUGUUUCUUCCCCUUUUUAUCUAAACAUCUUCGAUGAUUUCCGUAUCAAAGAUUGAUCUGCUGAAGAAUAAGUUUGGGUUCGAUGAGGCGUUCAACUACAAGGAAGAGCCGGACUUGGAUGCUGCUUUAAAAAGGUCAGUAGUUAAUAGAACUCAGAUUUGUUCGACAGUCAAAUCACAUGAUCUGUUAUCCAACUUUGAUCGGAUUUGAUAUGUUUUACUAUGUUUUGCCAGGUACUUUCCAGAAGGCAUCGAUAUUUACUUUGAAAACGUCGGGGGAAAGAUGCUCGAUGCAGUGCUGCUCAACAUGAGAGUCCAUGGUCGUAUCGCUGUAUGCGGAAUGAUCUCACAGUACAACAAUGACAAACCUGAAGCAACGCACAACUUGAUGUACAUCAUUCCGAAACGGGUCCGGAUGCAAGGGUUUAUCGUCAGUGAUUUCUAUCACUUGUAUCCCAAGUAUCUAGAAAUGGUUAUACCUAGCAUCAAAGAAGGGAAGAUAACGUACAUUGAAGACGUAGCCGAAGGUAUUGAGAGUGCUCCAACAGCUCUCAUUGGCCUCUUCAUUGGUCGCAAUGUCGGGAAACAGUUAGUCGUGGUCUCCCGUGAUUGAUGCACUUAUACGGAAAAUAACACCGGUAUAAUUCGUACAUGUGGUUGUGUUUUAUUUCAAUGUAUUUUGUAUUUAUGUUCGGGUAUGCGUUGAACAUGUGCGUUUAAACAAAAGAGUCUAUUUGGGGCUUUUCAUACAAAUAAUAUAAAAAAUUUAAUUAUAAAAAUGGUAUUGGAUCUAAAUUAUUUAUAAAAAUAGAAUUUUUUUUAUAGUAAAUAUGAGUGUCGCCAACCUAUCAGAGAGCACCACUCUAAAUUAUUUCCUAUCAUUAGUCAAUCAUACAGUUAAAAUAUUUUUUUAAGUAGUGAUACUUAACACAAUGGUGGUAUUGACAUGUAUUUUUUAAAAAUAUUCAUAUUUCCUCUUAAAUACAAUUCAAAUGAUAUUAAGGAGAAAAAAAUUGUGCCACUUGAAACAUUGGUAGUAUUGAUCAUUUUUUUUAUAUAUAAAAAGAGCCUAACAAGAAAAAAAGAUGUGAUAAAAAAAUGUGAUGUAUAUUUUAAGGUAAGGGAGUCGUGAUUGAUUAGUCACACCAGCUGCAAGCCAGUGCCGCUUGACAAUCGAUCACGGCUCUCUAUCCUAAAAUGUACACUUAGUUUUUUUUUUUCCUUAAAGUUACCUUACCCAUUAUCUCUAUACACAUAACAUGGGAUUUGAGUGACAUAGAGUGAAUUUUUUUUUUUUUUUAUAGUUAGUUGUUUUGUGUUGGGAUUUGGGAGGAAAAAAUUGUUUGGGCUGAAAUUUUAGGAAGAAAUUAUUUAGUUUUAAUGGAUGUUUUCAUUGUUUGUAAUAAUAAUUUGUAUAUUAUAUUUAAAUAAAAUAUAAAUAAAAUUAUUUACAAAAAUGAGUUGUGGUAAAUAUUAUUAUGUGGAAGGGUUUAUGUUCUAAAAUGAUAUGUUUAUUCAAUUUUGCUUGUUCAGAUAUCGAAAUGAGUUCAUUGAGUAGAGCAACUGAUCUCACUACCAUAAUGAUUAAUGUCCCAAUAAAAACAAAUUGUUACUUGCUAUUCACGGGUAUUUUACAAAUUUACACGUCUUUAUUUUUUAAUUAGCAUAUUUAACUAAUAUGGUAAUUUGUUAUGGACAGGGUGAGUAUUGCGUCUUGAGAACGCGUGUCCAUGGUCCAAGCUAGCGGUCAGACGAAUGUAUAAUUCCUUAUUUGGAUGCCGCAAGAUUUGGAACGACGACAUUGAUUAGGAUAUUAGAGCUUAGGACUAACUUGACAUCCAACUUGGUUGAGAGGUGACGCCCGGAGACCCACACAUUUCAUUUGUCGUGUGAAGAGUGCACCAUCACUUUAGAAGAUAUUCCAUUGCAAUUCGGGCUCCCAGUUGAUGUUGUUGUGGUCACGGGUUCAAGUAAAGUGAUCGAACCUACAUCGUUUUGCUAUCAAUUGCUUGGACAAUCGUUGGGUGAUGGUGUUGUUAAAUUUACCAGAUUGAAAUUUUUCUAGCUAGAGCAAAAUUUUAAAACUUUACCAGUAGUGUCUCACAGUGGAAGAAGAUGUGCGUUGUUUGGGUGUAUAUACUGGAGCUGAUUGGGGGUACUCAUGUUGGAUGCAUGUAAUAAUAAAGUCCACCUGAUGUACUUACAUCUAUUGGUUGAUUUUCAAGUUGCUCGUUUGUACAGUUUGGGUUCGGCACUAUUAGCAACGUUGCACCAUGAGUUUUGUCGGGCGACAAAAAACGAUACACAAGAUACAAGCAGGUGCCUAGUACUGCUGCAGUCUUGGGCACUGUACGAGAUGUCAGAAACAAUAUGUUUUCCCACUUGAAAAUAGGUAAAAAAAAAAUUAAAACAUCGAAUAAGAAUUAUUUUUUUAUGAAAAUGUUAUUUAGAUGGUAUACUUGUCUGGGGAUCGGGAAGUCAGAAACCUUCAUUGUGUACAGACAAAUGAUUGAGGCAUAUGUCGAAGAAGAGAUAAUUUUUUUUCAAAAUAAAAUUAUAUUCAUGUCAUGUAAUUGUUUUAGUUAUUUAUUUUUGAUGUUACUAUAAUCAUGUUAUUAAUUAUGCAGUUUAUGUGGAUGUCAUAUAGUAUGUCAAAUGUUACAAGUGUAAUUCCCCAGUUGGUUUACCAUCAUUCAUAUGUGUGGUGCAUUAAUGCACCUCUUAUGAAUUUUUCAACCGUUGAGUGGUACAGCGAGGACCGGUCUGCGAUAAUUCAACAAAAUAUUUUGGAUGUUUCAGUCAACUUCAACAAUGUCCACAACAUUAAUAAGAAGGGAAAAUAUGCAAAGAAUUGGACAUUAGAACAUUAACAAUGAAUUGUAAUGUGAAACACCCGGAUGGAUAGGAGGCAUCGGUUGGACUCUUGUACAGGAGAUUUCCUGCCCUUGGUCCACUACCAACGUUGGUACAUGGAAAACGAGUUAUCGUGCUUGUUUGGGGAGCAGUUGAUAGUAGUCCUUAGACACAUGCACUGAUGAGGGCAUCAAUAAAGUGAGACUGAGUCGAUCCCAUCCUUGCCGAAGACAGCCGCCGCCUGAUUCCAGUUUUGAUUAUCAACAACCCAGAUCAUCAAUGAUGGUUAAUAUGCUUAGCUCUGCACCCCAAUAUUCCACACAACCAAUUUUUUUUUACAUUUCAAACCGAUUCAACUGAACAGGUUGGCAACACCACCUUACAUCACCUUUUUUUUUCCUUUUCCCUUGGCUUUUUCUUUUCACGCCCUUUGCCAACUUUUUUUUAUAAAAAAAAAUAACACACUGACAGCACCACUAUAAAAAAAAAAAAACUGUAUUUGUAUAAUAUUUGUUUCGUAUUUAAAAAAAUAUUUGUAUUAUUUUUUUUGUGAUGCUUGACCACUUAACAAUAUUAGUUAAAAAAUUGUUUUUUUUUUACUUCAUCGAGAUUGAUGACAGCAAAUGGGAGAAAAUCUAAGGUGGUGCCGCCUGAUAAUGUAGCGGCAACCAAGUUUACUGUAGUAAUUAAUCGGGAUCUUAUGCCAUUUUCAUAUAUUUUUUUCAUAUUAUUUUGAUAAUAAAAGAAAACCGUCUAUUUCACUAGAGUUCUGAUUAUUCAAAACAUAACACAAACUGUAUAUAAAGAGCAAAAUAUGUCAUACAUAUCACACCAAUACCUUAAAAAUACUUUGAAAUUUUAUAGAGGAAGAGAGUAACCACGUAGAUAUCUGGAGUCGACACCCGACUCUCUCACCAGUGCGAGACGUCCAGUUCGAGCAACCUAAAUACAUGCAAAAAGAAUGAAGGAAUGUCGUUAUACUAUGAAGAUAGAUGAUGUGAUUGUUACACUGGAUGCCAAAUGUUAUCGACGAACCUCACAGAUACCGUAGGGCUCCAACAAUCUCUGCAGUGCAACCAUCUUGUCCAGAUCUCCUGUAAGCUGGAAUAUGCAUCCAAACAUAUUGUUAUACUUGGACUUGGAAAAAAAAGUGUCAAAUACAGAAAAGCUCAAGUUUGUUUUUACAUAUUUGGACCUCCAUGUUAUGUAUGAAUGUGUCGGAAUACGAAUAUCAGACAUAUUUUAGAGGAAGAAGGGCUAGAGUAACGUAGACAAAUGCAAUGGGUUGAUGUUGUUCGGACUAAACGUAUCAGAUACGAACGUGCUUUUCCAUAUAUUAUACAAAAGAUCAACACCUAGUGUCCAAAUAAUUACCUCGAGGGUGACAGUGUGGUCAGAAACAUCGACAGCCUUGGCCCUAAAAAUGUUGGCAAUGUCAAGGACAUCUCGUCGAGCAGCGGCAUUCACAGCAAUCUUUAUCAACAUUAAUUCUCGUUCAGCAAAUGGCAACUGUGUAAGAUCCCGUACCUAAGAAGUGAAAUCAAUUGUCAGCCGUUGAGUUCACUCAAGAAAUUACAGAGCAAAGGCUAACAUCACUGCAAGUUGGUUACGGAAGUUACUCGGUAUUGAACACAAAAUAGUUAAAGUAUGUUACUCAGAUUCGGGUGUAAGAAAUUAAUAGUUUUAGAGUUGCUUCACUAGUGAAUGAUUCGAAAUGCACCCUUCAGUAUAAUCUCACCUCAUGCAUAUCUACGAGCUUAUAGAGUUGCUGCACUAAUUUGCUAAUUGAUUCAUCAGUACCAGGGACAACAGUUGUAAUACGGGAAAGCCCCUCAACUUCAGCAUGUCCAACAGCCAAACUCUGAUGAUGGUAAAAAGGAUUUAGCAGAUUAAAACCCCCUAAAAAACAGAGCAGGAAAGAGAUAAGAAAUAAUGACAGCAAACUCACCUGAAGAUUAUAGCCUCUUCGAGCAAAAACACCUGUAACAAGGUUUAGAACUCCCGGAGAGUCAUUUACGAGCAUGGAUAAAGUAUGAGAUUGAUGUCCACUUGUCUGAGAAACAUUAGCAAAAAUGUUAAUAUUACAAUAAAAUACCAUGAAGAUACGUUUUAAACAGUGACUCGUGAAAAAAAGGUAGCUCAGCACCAAUAGGGACAUUAAUCUUGGAACAUAGAACCAAGCAUGUUCUAAGAACAAGUGAAAUUUCAAAGUGAAACUACAUCAUUCUCUCGAGUCAUGAAGCUUGUGGCUUACUCAUUUAUGCUUAACAACUAACAGAACUUAUGAUGACCCAUGUACUAGGAAUCAAAUUACACUUUAUCUCCUUUACUAAAAAAGUUGAGCAACUUAAUUCUUGUACAUUAAAUCAAAGAGCAAACUAGUCCUUUCAGUUAAAAUUUUCAUCCUUUCCUAUUAUUAAAAACUGGUGUGGCUGACGAAAUAACCAGACGGCUACACAUGAUGUGCCACGUGUACCUCAAUUCGACAUACAAUAACCAAUUUUUAACAGAAGGAUCAGUUUGCUCUUUAAUCUAAUAUAUAGGGACUAAUUUGCUCAUUUUUUAAGUAAAAGGGACAAAAUGCAAUCUGACUCCAAGUACAUGUGCCUCCAUGAUACUUUUACCAACUUUUGAUCUAUUAGUGUGGAUAUGUAUGUAACAAAGAGAGAGGAGACACUUAACAACCAGCAAUAAGCAUGCUUACAUCUUCAUCAGUGAGAACACCCCAAUGAGCAUCAAGAACUUGAUUGAUCGUAAAGCCAUCAGGCGACUCCACCGGAUAGACGUCUCCCUGCAUGAGCAGGCAAAAACACAUAAAACUAUAGAUUUUGGAGCAGAAGGUAUAUGCAUUAUGCAAUGACAGAAUAUAGGAGCACAGAAAGGCUUACCCCUCCAGAAACAUCGGCCUCGCUAAAUACUGAUUGCUUUCUAGCCCCUGAAAGAGCGUUAUCAGGUACUGUUUCUUCAAGAUCAGGAUAUGAAGCUGCUGAAAAUCGCCAGAAUGGAGCAGAUGCACCCAUUUUUUCCCUUCUAAGAGCAAUCUAAUAGGAGAUUUGAGGAUAAACAUAUGCAUUACUAGCCUUGAACUAAUAAAGAACCAACUAGAAAUUUUCAUCAAGCUCAUUUACCUUUCCUGUUCUAGCAAUUUCUUUGAUCCCAAACUUGCUUAAAUUUCUUUGCACAGCAACCAUCUUCCCUGGAUCUCCUGUUACCUUUGUUUAACACAUGAUAUGUAACAUAUGAUUCAACACUGAAGAAACAUAAUUGAAUCCCUUAGUCCAAAAUUUGAAAGAAAUGCUUUAAGUUUGGUAAAAGUAUCAUGGAGGCUUUUGUACUAAGAGCAAAUUAGUAUUUAUACGUUAAAUUAAAGAGCUAACUAAUCUUUCUGUUAAAAAUUUCAUUCUUUUCUACUGUUAAAAACUGAUCCCAAUACAUCAGCAUGAGGUACUUUGACUCCUCAAGUUUAUUAAUCUAUUGAACAAUAAUUCAUCUGCAGGCAAUUAACACCAAAAAUUCUGAAGCAACAAGAAGAUAAUCCAUUCAUUACCUCAAUAGUUAGUGAAUGUUCUGAGAUAUCCACAAUCUUGGCCCUGAAGAUGUCCACUAACCACAUGAUCUGAUAAGCAAGAAAAGGUCAGCCAAUCAAAGGGAAAUCUAGAAGGAACUCUCAAGUCUUAACAUUCUAAAAAUCACAAGCAGGAUUUACCUCAGCUCUGAACUUUGGGUCUGCAUUCACUUUUAUUAGCAUUAGCUCACGUUCAACCUGAGGCUCAUUUGAGAGAUCUUCAACCUAUCCAUGAUACUAAAGUAAGUAAAUUUAAUAAAUUGACAUAUAUAAAAAUGUCAUCAACCCUUUUAAGAUAUCAUAAUGGACAAUCUUGAGAUACUUAAAAACUUCAUAAGGUGUGUUGAGAGGAGAUCGACUUCUUCCACGAAAGUCUACAAAAUGUCAUUGGUCUGGAGUCAGCAGACCCCUCAACGUGUCAGUAUGAUCCCCUGGUUGAGCCGGGAUUAUGUUUCUCGACUCUAAUGAGAGCCCGAACCAAAGGCAAAGUUUACAAGACAAAAAUGUCUCGUUGGAUUGGACCAUCCAUGACGCACAACCUCCUACCAAAGAAACAUGAGCAUCCACGCACGGUAGGAUUUGAACACUUACCCACUAUGGGCACAUAUGCUACUACUUGAUUAAGCUAGAUCAAGUGAUAACAUGCCUCCCCUCUAGUGACCUAUAUGUUAUAGGUCAGGGAUUCAAAUCAUACCAUAAGCAAAUGACUAUCAUUUCUUCCAUAGGUGACCAUACACUACACACGAUCCAUUUUGAAGUCACUCUUACUCUGUGGACCCAUGCCCUAGGAAGCCUCUUUAAGCACUCACUCUUUGCAGAGUCGAAAAACAAAAUCUCAGCUCGUCUCGAAGACAAUACCAGCCCAUUGAAGAGUCGGGUCAGCUUCAGACCAACCACACUUUGCAGACUUCACCUAAAGAAGUCUACCUCUCAAAGGCGGAUCUAAAAAGGGUAGGUAGGAGCCUCGCCCCGAAAACGAAAACUUUUAGUUCAGCCCCUUAAGAAUUAUUAAAUUAUAAAUUUAUAUAUGAUAAAUUUACAUUUGGCCCUAAAAAGUUUAUGUUUAGCACUUUUCAAAUGAUAAAAUCAUAAAUUUAUAACUGAUAAAAUUAUAUUUUAAUCUCUCAAAAAUUUAUAAUUCAAAUCCGACCCUUAUGCACGUUAACAAUGGCAGGAAAGGAAACUACUUCCACCCCUAUCCUUCAAUUUCAUCAUGCCUAAUAAACAUCACUACAAUAUAAUGAAGAAGUUUCAGGAUAAGAUCAUACCUUCCAAACGUUCACAAGCUUUUGUAACUGCUCCACAACUUGCUGAAGCACUCUAUCAGUACCAGACACAACAAUGGUAAAAAGUGCCUUAUCUUUAUUUAAACCAACCGCAAGUGACUCAAUAUUAUACCCUCUUCUAGCAAAAACUCCAGCAAUCCUAUUAAUCAUCCCACUUUCAUCCCCAACAAACACCGAAAUCGUAUGCCGCCUCACCCUUUAAUUCACCAUAACCAACAGCAAAGCAGCAAUUAUAGUAAGUAAACUGAAACAAAAACAAAAACCCAAAACGUAAAACGUAAAACGUAAAACGUAAAACAAAGAGGUUAGAUUAAAAUACGUACUUUGAACGAGUUGGAGUUGAAGGAACGGGUCCAUUGGCAAGGAAAUUGCUGUUUGAGAUCUUAUCGUCGACACUCUUUGGGGUAAAGACCAGUUUUCUCGGGACAUGGAUGAUGGGUCUUAUUGUUUUUGAAGGGAAAGUAAUGGGUUUAUGAACUGAGUCUGACUCGGUCUUUGAGCAGUGGAUCUGUAGGUGUGGAACAGUGGAGAGAGCCGCCAUGACAGCAAAGAAUGGAAGCAAAAAAAAAAAAAACAGAUACGAUACUGUUACUAAAUUAGAGUAAGAUAUAAAUUGAGGAAAUAAAACUGGUUAAAUUUCUCUAUUAGUCCCUGCAUUGUUAUAGUAUUGGUAAAAUUCUUUCAUUAGUCACUAUAUUUUGCGAAAGUUGUGGAUUUGUACUUUGCAAAUUUUAAAAUUAUAAUCUUCACCAAUCGAUAAUUGUUAAAUUCAUUCGUUUAAGUUUUGUUAUUUCCAAUAUCUAAUGAGGCACACAUAUUAUCAUAUGUGUAAUGUAGCUUGUUAUUUCCAUGUAUUACUAAAAUUUUAGUUAAUGGAUUAACAACGGUCUUUUACGUAAGUCCGACUAUAUUGAUACACAAACAAUUAUAUUAAUCUAAUAUAAAAAUAAAUGUGUGUAUUCAUUUAUUUAAAUGUAGACAAUUGAAUCAAAAUCAAAGUUCCAUAUACACAUAUGAAUUACAAUUAAAGUUUCAUGUGUAUAAUUGCAUUAAAUCAAAGUUCAUAUAUCAAAUUGCACAUUGAACUAAAGUUCAUGUAUAAAUUUGAUAAUUUUCCCUUCUAAAUACGAUGCGGUAAUCAUAUUAUCAUAUUGUAAUGUCAUAUAUUACUCACAAAAAAAAAAAAGUUAAUAGAUUCAAUAGUUGUCAUUUGUGUUUAGAUUAAAAAUUUGAAAUUCGAAAAGUAUAGAGACUAAAAACGAUCCAAUUGGAGAACAAUGACUAACUCAUUAGUUUUAUGCAUGGUACAAGACUAAUAUCACAAUUUAACUAAAUGGAUUAGACUACUAUUAUUUAAUUCAGGACUAAAAUUUAAAUUUUGAAAAAUAUAAGGAUUAAAUUUGACCAACUAAACUAAAAUUGAUUCAAUUAAAAUAUAUGUACUAAAUCCACAAUUUACUCAAAAUAUAGGGAUUAAAAACAAAAUUUGACAGAAGAGAAAUGGCCGGAUAUGUUGUUCGGUAGCUUAAACGGCGCCGUUUGGAUUUUUCCAUUGGGGGACAAAAGAGGAAACUUACUCAUUAACAAACAUUUUUAGCCUCUUUACAGCUAAAAUAUAACUUUUUAAUUAUUUUUUAUUUUUAUAUUUUUAUUUAAAUUCUCUCAUAUUUUCGAUAAAGGUUUAAAUAUUCAUAUAUGAUAAGACUCAAACCUACGAUUACAAGGUUUUUAAAAUUUUAAUUUUAUAUCAAUUGAGUCUUAGCUCAAUUGGUAUUGACAUUAUUACCAGUGCAACAAGACGUGGGGAGAGGCUAUGGGUAACUCUAGGUAUUAUAUCAAAAAGAGUAGAUAUGAUAACAACCUAUAAUGAGAUUAAUGUAAAAAAAACUUUAAUUUUAUCAUUGAAUCAAUAAUUUAUUAACAAUAUAAUCUAAUAUUUUAGUAAUUAUUAUUAUACAUGCCCGUAUCAUAUUAAUUAUUUUAAUGUUACAUAAUGUAGACUUGUUCAUGGACGGGUUAUCUGUACAGGUUUGAAGGCUCGUUUGAAAUUUGGGAGGGUUUAGGUUAAAAUAUUAAGCCCGAAAAAUUAGCUCGUGCAAAAAAAAAAAUCAAGCCUAUUUAAAAUAUGGAACGUGCUAGAGUUUGAACAUUUAAAGCCCAAGCUUAGUUCAACCCGUUUUUUAAGUUUGUAAUACUUUAUAUUAUGUAUGUUAUAACACAUAAAAAUAUAAUACUAUUAUAAUAUAAAUAUUAACAAACGUUAACAUGAUUAUAUAUAAAAAUUUAAUAAAUAAAAAGUAUAAAAUAUUAAAUAUUAAACUAAAAAAUAACAUGGGCAUAUAAAAAAUGGGCUUUGAUUAAUUAUUUACAAAUAUUAAUAGAUUUGAGUAAAAUUUUAGGUUUAUAUUUUGUGCUACGUCGAACAAAUAUAAAAUAUGUUAAUAUCAUUCUUAAAUUCAAUCCAAUCUAACCUGAUACGGUUCAUGAAUACCUCUAACUAAUAAGCCCAAAACUAUUAAUGUACUCAUCUCUGUACACUAUAAUCAAUCCCAACAUGAUACCUAGCCCAUAAAGAAUAGCUAGUGCCUAUACAUGUGUGAAAUGGGCUAAAAAUUUGCCUCACUUUGUUAUAAAAUUCAUCGUUAAUUGGUGUUUAAAUUUUAAAAUAUUUUAAUUAUAUCAUUAAACUAUAGAAAUUAUAUUAAUAAAAAAUUUCAUUACUAAAACUAUUAAAAUCGUUAAGUAAGAUAUCAAAUAUUGUGUGGUAUAAUUUAAAAUAUAUCAUAAAAAUAUUAGUUUUUAUGUUUUCGGAACUUUUAUAAAAACUUUAUUUUUCACGCAUUUUUUUUCAAUUUUACUUUAUUUUUAAUUCUAACUUUAAAAGUUAUGCAGAAACAUUACGAUUCUCUUCAAGAUUUUCAUUUUAAAUUAUGACAGAUAAAAUUUAGCAUGUCAUUUAAGAAAUAAAUUAACGAUUUUAAUAAUAAAAUGAAUUGAUUAAUAUAACAUCGAUAAUUUAAUUCAAUCACGAGUGAAAUGAUAAAGGGUUAAUUUUUUUAGAACAAUUUCAUUAUAGGUUCGAAUAAUAUCUACUCUUUUUGACACAAUGUCUCGAACUACUCAUAGCCCCUCCUCAACCCAUAAAUAGGAAGAUAAUGCGCUUCUGCUCAUUUGAAUCCACGUCCUACGGCAUUGGCAACAUUGCUCAUACCAAUCGAGCUAUAGCUCGAUCGACUAAAGGAUUAAUUUUUCAAAAAGAGUUGAAUUAAUUUUUCAAUGAAAAUACUGACUCAAAUGUCAAACUUUUAAACAUGGCAGCGCACAUAAUGAUCCGCGUGUACUUUAUGCUAUUUUUUAAAAUUUUUAUGAACUUUAUAUUUUUUUGAAUUUUUUUAUUUUAUAUGUUUUUAUAAAUUUAAAAUUAUUUUUUAUGUAAAAUAUAAGAGAAAUAAUUUCAUGUCAACGAUUAAAGAACAAAGAUUUUAAAAAUUAUUUUUUUUAAAAAUUUAAUGUUUUAGUUAGUAUUUUCAUUAAAGAACAACGAUUUGACUAUUUUUGAAAUGUUAAUGACCAAAUUUAACUAUAAAAAAGGACCAAAUUGAAAAAAAUAUAAACGUUAGAGGCUAAGUUUAUUAUUAUGCAUUACACAAUUAAAUCCACUCGAAUUUAUUAUCUUUCUAAAAAAAAAAAUUAGAUCAGCAUGGUUGACAAUGAAGCUAUUAAUAAACCAUUCACGUGAAUAAAGAAAAAUUUGAGGUUCUCAUAGCUUAUCUCCUUUCAACGAUGCUAUUUUCUUUUAUCCACAUGGAUAGAUCCGGCUAUUAAGGACAAACGUUUAAAUUAGGUUAAAUUCUACUUCAAGUUUUUAUUCUUUUCGUACAAUUAAAAUUGAAAUUGAAUAGGUAUAGCAGGUGGUGUGAUCCGAGAUGCAAUUGAUUUAUGAUUUUUGAGAUUAGCAAGAAACAUCGAGAUGUGCAAUGAGUAUGAGGUAGAAGUCUAGGGCAUUCUGGAUGGUCUUGACUAAGCUUGGAAGUUUGGAUGUCGAGAUGUUUUGCUAGAAACAGAUUGUUUGGAAAAGCUACACUAUAUUAAGGGGAACCUGACGAUACAUUAGGCGGAAUCAUAUGUUGUUAAUACGAUUCGAGAUUUGUUGAGUUGUGAUUGGGAUACCAACUUAAAACAUGUGCAUCGAGAAUGCAAUAGGUUGGUUGAUUGCUUAGGAAAGCUGCAGAAAGAAUAGGCAUUGACGUUCAUUGUUGGUUUCAACCCCCUGAUUUUGCUCUGAAUGCAUUGCAUGAAGACCUUAAUGGUUUAUCUACUACUAGACUAAUUGCUAUGUAAUAGCCUGUAUUGCUUUUAUUUAAACAAAAAAAAUUGAAAUUGAAAUUUUCUAUUUUAUUUUUAGAAAUUUAGUAUUUUUACUUUUCACAUUUUAAAAUUUCUGUUAAAAUGUUAAGACCGUUAAAACUUUUCAGUAAAAUUUAUUAGUGUGACACUUUCAAAUAAAAAAAUACUCAACUUCGUAACCAUUUAACAGAAAAAAAAAUGACGUUUGUUAUACAUCUAGUUCUUAGAGGCACUCCUCACCUUUACAAGUCACAUAAACAGACGUGAACACUAGCGAAUCUCACGCAUUAACCACCAUUCUCGAUUUCAACUACCAUAUUCAUCUAAUGUAAUUGAAAGAAUAUCUCACUGCCACCUUAGGAUCAUAGCUUAGGGUAUAUAAACCCUUAGCUCCACCUAAAAAGGGGACCUCUCUCUCUCUCCUUCUUCUUCAUUCUCAAUAUUUGACUCAACCAAAGUUAUAACCUAAACACCCUUUAGGAUGGCUUUUGCACCUUGCCUAAGCAAGGUGAAUUGCACGAUACAACCGUCAUCUCCACCUUAUUUGAUCUUAGCAUCGAGCCAUCAACAAUGUUAAAAUAAACUUGAAUUUAACAGUAUUAACAAUUGGACUUGCAUUGUUAAAUUUGAAUGGUAGGGGACCAUAUUCCUUGAAAUAAAAAUAAAAAGAACUUGGAAUAUAUUUUAUCCUUUAAAUUAAUAUGAAAGGAAUUAGAUUGAAACAACUAAAGUUUGAAGAAAUAUAUCUCCAUAAUGUUAGAAAAAUGGUGGUUCAGUUUACGAAAUAUAAGAUUACUGGUAAUAAGAAUUACCAUAAUGUAAUAUUAUUUAGCAUAUUAUCGAGUAUGUUACUAUUUGCUUCUUUUUUUACCAUUUGAUAAAAAAUGUAUUUUUUUAAUAAAUAAAUCAAAAUUGGGAUGAAUGAACAUGAAAAAAAAGAGAGAGAGAAUAUAAUCAAAAUAUAAUAUAAUAGAUAGGAUAUUAUCUUUCCUUUAACUUAUAAUAAAUAAAGAAAUAUAGUUGAAAUGUUACUCGAAAAAUAUAUUAAAUAAGUGGAUAAUUUGAUUCAUUAGUUUUUAAGGUAAAUUACUUUUCUAGUCACUCUAAAUAGGCGUUAUUUCUAUUUUGGUUAUCCCAAUUUUUUUUUUGUUUAUUUAGUCACUGUUAUUAAAAAAAUUGAUCAAAUUGAUCACUCCACUAUUAACCUAUCUCUUCCAUCGUUCUAUUUAUUUUUUAUUUUUUAAUUAUAGUCAUGGAGUCAAUCCACUAUAAGUACCAUCACUAAACUCCCCAUUAUAUACGAAAGCAACUUAAUUUUAUGCAUUGCCCAAUGACAUUGUCAUAAAUAUAUUACCCUCAUAGGAUAUCCUUAAUCUAUUUCGAUUAAAUUCGUUCGUCCGAUAUGAUCCUAUUUUGUCUCAUAGUCAUAAUUGCAUCUUUCUAUGAUGAAAAUGAUUAUUACUAACAAAUAGUAAUAGCAAUAAUUUAUCUUGACAAAUAGCUUGUGAUCGCGUUCAUUUUUCAUAAUCCAUGUAAUGUCAAUGAAAGGAUGUUAUUUACUCUUUGAACGAGCUAUAAAUUCCACUAUCGUAAAUGAAGUCAUGCAAUACAUAAGUCAUAUACCUGACAUACUAACUUUCGACUUUGACAUCAACUGAGCUCAAACUUUCAAUAUUUCAAAGUAAAUGAGUUACAUAUUCAUAGCCAGUUGCUUAGGGUGGGUUUGGAUGGGUGGUGCGUUUAUCUGCGGUUAGUGUAAAAACAGCGGUGGCGGUGAGAUUAGAUACUAUAGCGAUACUGUAGUGUGAGACAAAAAGUAAGCUAAACGCACUGCACCGCACCCAAUCGCCCAUCCAAACCCACCCUUAGUCGGGAUUAAGGUAAACCACAUUAUGAAUGUCACAAGUGAGUUUAUCCAUAAACGGAUUUAGUAUUAAUUCAACUUGAGGUUCCGUUUGAUCUAUUGUCAAACCAGACAAUCACACUUGUGUAUCUAUCUUUUUGAAAGUUAUUCGCUUCAAUACCAAGACAAUAUAUCUCUCCAAUUGAACUUGAUAGACAACAUAAUACUCCAUUUAGUCAAUUGCUUAUUUUGAUUCUUUAAAUUAUAGGUUAUUCAGGUUACCUACUAAUAUAAGUUGUCUUCUCGCAUCAUAAUCUAACCGUAUGAUGCCACUUGGUAUUAGUUAGACCUUAGGUAAUUGCGAGUCUAUAUUUGCUUUGUUCAUUUUACUUUUUGUGUAAAAACCGGUGAGAAUAAAAUACAAAAGAUAAUAAUUAUAACUAUGGAAUUUUAUUAACCAAUCUGCUUGAAAAAUUACAAGUGUAUAAGAUAAAAAAAUUGCACUAAAGACACAAAAACCUAACAGUAAUGUGCUAAGUGAUUAUUUACAUUCAGACAAUCCUAUUAUUAAAAAAACUUACAUUUUGUAAGCCAAACGCCUCCCAAUAGUACUGUUUUGGAUCCAGGCUGGACUAAUCAAUCAGAUCGGUUGAUAUAUUAAUCCAAACAAAAAGAUUUGAAUUGACCUUUAAGUGAAUUGUUUGUAAACAAUAAAAUUGAAAAUUGAGACAAAAACUCGGUGGUUAAAUCGAUUUAUAAAUAUUUAAUAAUCUUUAUAAAAUUUUAAUUGUUAAUUUAAUUAUUGUUGAAUAAACAAUUACACUGUUUAAACCAAAAACUGAUAACCUAAUGACCCCUUAUAAGUAGUAUGAAUUUUUUUCGUCUAAAAAUAUAUAAUUAAAAUAUUAAAAUACUAACCAACACGUGGUUGAGUGCAAUAGUCAGGUAUAUUAUACUUCCAAUGGGAAAACAUAAAUUCAAAUCUUAAAGACAACGGGACAGUCACAAGCCCCGAAUAUGAAUCUUGACAUACAUAAUAUAAAAAAAUAUUAAAAUCGUAACAUAUUGUAGGGUAAUAGGGAUGGCAACAAUAAUUAAAAAGAGGAUGGGGUUCAAAGGCUUGAAAAUUGAAAGGUAGAGACUUCCACAUGUUAGCUUAAAUGUGGGGUUACCCAUCCCCAUGACUUAUUUAUGGAGUUUUUCUAUAUCUCAAUUAUUGGUGACCCCUAACCCUUUUCACUUACCAACAACUAUUAUAAAUAAAAUUAUUUGAUUAAAUAUUAGGUUAAUUGGCAUUAUAUUAUUAAUUUUAAAAAAUUAUUGUGGGUAAUGUGACAAAUAAUUAGAGAUUUGAAGGUUUCAAAGGUAAUUUAAUAAAAACAUUUUAAAUUGUUCCAAAUUAUAAAAAGAAUAAAUAAAAAGUAGGAAAAUGAUAUCCACUUUGAUUGGACUCAAUUGAAAACUAUAUAUGUAUUCAAAUUGAGGUCGGCCAAAAGCAAAAGUAGAGUUUACAGCUACCAUUAUAUAUAUAUAUAUAUAUGAAAAGAAAACAAUGGACGAAACUUUAGCCUAAAGCAUAUAUAUAUAUAUAUAAACAAAGAAGAAAAAAACAAACGAUUUAUUGUAUGAAAGACUCGUGACUGCCAACACAACAACCUUUGAUUUAUACAAAAUUUAUGAAUUGAUAGGAUUACAUAUUUUAAUAAAAAAAUAUCAUCUUUUCUCAUAAUAAUAAAAAAAAACAUUUUAAAGUUUGAUUACGUGGAUUGAGUCUUAACUUGAUUGGCAUGGAUAUUGUUAUUAAUGUAGGAGAAUGUGGGUUCGAGUGUGCUGAAAUGUAUUAUCCUCCUAUUUAUGGUUGGAGAGGAGCUCUGGGUAGUUCUAGACAUUGUGUCAAACUAAACAGAUAUGAUCGGAACCUAUAAUGAGAUUGUUCAAAAAAAAGUUUAAUUAUAAAAGGUGAAUGAAUUUGAAAGGUAUCUAGAUUAUAGGAUCUCUUUUUAAUAGAGAGACUAAUUUCAUUCAAUCCCUAUAAUAAAAGGAUAUCCGGGUACUUUGACCAAUUAUAAAAUAGAUAUUAUUGUUGAUUGAGUCUUAGUUCGAUUGAUAUUGUUUUUUUAAGGUUGGGGAGGGAUUAUGGUUACUUCUAGGCAUUUUACCAAAAACAUCUCAAUAUCAUGGUUAAUCUCAUCAGAUAGCCUCAAAUUCUGACAUUGAUUUUAAAUUGGUCCUCAAAAUUCAAGACAUUGUAAUUGAGUUCUUAAAGCAUUAAUAUCAUAUCAAUCAAGCAUUUUUAUCAGUCUAGCCAUUACCUUGGACGUUAAAUGCAAGAUCAAAUCAAAUGGCGAGUAAAUUUAAAAUAAGCGGAUCAAAUUGUAAACAUAUGUAUACUUAUUACGUGGACAACUUAGAUUUGAUAUGUUAAAAAAAAAAAAGGACAUUUCCCUACUAAUUUUAUUGGCAUUAUCUAGUUUUCUAACACGUUGAAUCCAAGUUGAGGUACACAUGUGUAAGUCAUAUGAAUUGAUUGUGACAUUUGAGCGUAAAUUGAUGGCUAGAGUGAUAAAAUGACGCAAUUGAUAUAAUAUUAAUACUUUAGAGAUUAAAUUAAAUUGUUUAAAACUUAUGGAUCAAUUUAAACUCUAAACAAAAGUUUGAGUAUGUUUGGUGCAAUUAACCCUAACUAUUAAUAUAAAAUAGUCUACUCGGUUCACAUGCCAAAAAUCUUAACUAACUUAAACCGAUUCUAUUUUGAUCGAUCUUAUCCUAAUUAAAAAAAGUUGAAAUAUGCUAUUAGUCCUUGAACUUCUAUACAAGUUGAGAAUUAGUCCUUAUACUUAAAAAGUUAAAAAUUCAACCCUCCUACUUUUUCAAUUUAAAAAUCCUAGUCACAUGUCAACUUAACAUAUUUAUUUUCUGCCAAUCAUAUGUCACGUGUGAAGUCGAUGAAUUUUAACAGAAAACACUAACAAUAUGUUAAUGAUUAGAUUACGGUUUUUAAAUUAGAAAAGUAAGUGACUUAGUUUUUAACUUUUUAAGUAGGUUAAAAUAUGGCACAAGUUCAUGCACUAUUAAUAAAUUUGGAAUCUAGUCCCUAUACUUUUAUUUUUAGGAAAUUAAUCCCUCUGCUUUUCAGAUUUCAAACUUUAAGUCUAAUUGUUAACAUUGUUAAAACUAUUUUGUUAAAUUCAAUUUCAUUACAACAUUUUUUUUAGUUCCAUGGAUACUAAGUGAGUGUUUUUUUUAAUUUCAAAAUGUCACACAAAUAAAAUUAAUAAAAAUAUUUUAACAGUAUUAACAAUUAGACCAAAGUAAAUGGACUAAAUUUCAAAUUUGGGAACAGUAAAUAGACUGAUGACAUAUUGUAACCUUUUAAUUACAAUGAAUGUAUCUAGGAAGUCCCUCUAUUAUAAAGAUCGAAUUAGUCCCUCUAAUAUUAUUAAAAGGAAUCAAAUAAGACAAAAUCGAAAAAUAGUUAACAUUUACUGUUUAAUAAAUGACAUGAAAAUUACUUUUUCAUUCACAGUUCAACUCCAAACAAAAAUAUUUUUUUAUCAUAAGAAGCCGUCAAAAUAUAACUCUAUUAAACAAUUUAAUAACAAUUUUAAACUGUAACUGUUAACUCUGUUGAAAUUUGGGCUUAUUUGAUUUUUUUAAUAAUAUAGAGACUAAAUUGAUACAUUUAAUAGUAGAGGGACUAAUUUGAUACAAUCUAUAUAAUAAAAGAACCUACCAAGUAGAUUUACCUUUUUAAGUAAAAUAACUAAAUCUCAAAAACUAAAAACUUGAAUGAAAACAGAGUAAAAGCUAAAAAGCAGAAGGCUUUGUUGUCGUCUAAGAAAAACCAAAUUUUUUCCACUAUUUUUCGACUUUUUUCUCUUCCACCAUUGUUGGCUAUGCGUUUACUUCGGAGCCAAAGAAACCAAAAUCGUCUUCUUCCCUUCAUCAUCAUCAACAUCACUUGUUCAUCAUCAUCUUCAUCAUAAUAUCAUAUUUGUUUCCCUUUCCUCUGUUCCAUUAUCGAGAGCCCCUAAGCUUAAACUCUUCUUCCUUUUUUUGGCUCUCGAUCUUUUUCAGAACCAAAAAAAAAAAAAAAAGAGAAGAACUAAUCGUUUUUACACUUUGGGUUUUCUUAAAUGAAGAUGGAGAACUUAGCAUCGCAGUUAAAACGGGGAAUUUCCCGGCAAUUCUCAACCGGGUCUUUAAAACGGAGUUUAAGCCGUCAAUUCACUCGGCAAUCGUCGCUUGAACCACGGCGGAACAAUUUGCGGUUUAGCUUUGGACGGCAAUCAUCGUUGGACCCAAUUAGACGAAGGAAUAGUCAAGAUGAGAUGUCGGUGCCGGAGAAUUUGGAUUCGACUAUGCAGCUUUUGUUUAUGGCGUGUAGAGGGGAUGUUAAAGGAGUAGAAGAUUUGUUGAAUGAAGGGAUUGAUGUUAAUAGUAUUGAUCUUGAUGGUCGUACUGCUUUACAUAUUGCUGCUUGUGAAGGUCAUGUUGAGGUUGUUAAGCUUCUUCUUAGUAGAAAUGCUAAUAUUGAUGCUCGUGAUCGUUGGGGUAGCACGGUACAUUUCUUCUUUAAUUUACCUUUUUCGUGUUGAGCGGAGGUUGAUUCUUGUAUAUAGAGUUCGUAUGGCCUUUUAUCGAGGUUUUGUCUUUUUAUCGUGUUUGAGGCUGCCUGAGGAGGUGGUCUAUAGGGGUUGUCUCCUUAUCCUACGGAAGAGCUCCAGUGUUUGAGGCUACCUGAAGAGGCAGCAAGCUCAAUAAAACAAGAGAUCUCAUUGGUGCACCGAAGACUUCUUUAGAAGGACUCGAUAUAGGAAUGGGAAUAUGAUCAUUUAAACACACGAAAGAACUUAGAAAAAUAUUGAAAGUUGGACGUUUUAGCUUUGAUCAAUUUUGUGGGUCAAGUAUAUGGGGAUAUGUCCUAAGUAGCUUUGAUUAAUAUGCAUAUAUGGGAUUCAGGAUAUUCCCUUCUAAAUACAUGAAAAAACUUGUAAAAAAAAUAGAAAGUUGUACACAUUAGCUUUGAUUAAUAAGGUUUGGGAUUUUGUGGAGGUCAGUGAAUAAUCUGGUGUUGUUGGAUUUGGCAAAUUAGGAUGAUAUAUAUGCCUUUACAACACUAUAUAACUGAUUACUUAUCAAUAUUCAUGAUGAUGGUAUGAAUGAACGUUGAGCAAUGUAAAUAUAGUUAUAUUCUUAUAUGGCCAGGCAGCUGCUGAUGCAAAGUACUAUGGCAAUGUAGAAGUGUACGAGAUUUUGAAGGCCCGAGGAGCCAAAGUUCCUGUAAGAUAAAUGAAUUUUCUUCCUAUUUUGCUUCUAUCUAUAUGUCAUUAUGUAUGGAGGUCCUUGUACAAAGAUUCAAUUGCAUUUUGCCCCCUCUACUAAAAAAAUGGACAAUUAGUAUGUUAGAUCAAAGAGCAAACGAUCCCUUUUGUUAAAAAUUCCAUCCAUUUCUACUAUUACAAACUGGUCCCUGUACGUCAACAUGUGUGACUGUUUAAUUAUUCUGUCAGUCACAUAUAGAGACUAAUUUGACUCUUAGUAUAAGGACUUCCAUGGUACUUUUACCGAUAUUAUGCAUGCAUGAAGAUUGUUAUUUACUAUCUACCAUGAUAUUAGAAAACCAGGAAGACGCCAAUGACAGUUGCUAAUCCUCAAGAGGUGCCUGAGUACGAGCUUAAUCCGAUGGAGCUUCAAAUUCGGAAGUCUGACGGUAUAACAAAGGUACAGAUUCCCCAUCAUUUCAUUUUUCGGGAUUGAUGCUGUCAGAAACUAAUGUAUGGUCCAAUACGAAAGACGGUUCGGUUGAUUUGCAGAUGGUAUUCUGCAUUUCAUCUAGCAUUCACUAUAGUAUUGACAGAUUAGUAGACAUGUGCUCGUAUUUUCGUUCGAGCGAACUUCGACGUGUAUUUUAGGCAAUCAUGGUUGUUUCCCUCUGGGGUGGCAAAUUUUUUUUUUUUUUUUUUGUAUUCUAUGCCUUUUUAUAAGUUGACAUUUCAUAAAUCACUUGCCAGGGAUCAUAUCAAGUGGCAAAAUGGAAUGGCACUAGGGUAUCUGUAAAGAUAUUUGAUAAGGACAGCUAUUCAGACCCUGAAAGCAUGUAUGCACUUACCUUGGUUUCUUUUCAGAUAUGUACUUUCCUUUUCGAUAUCUGUUCUUUACACUUCCGAUGUACUUUGUACACUUUCGUGGGAUUCAAAGUGUUUGUCAUUCCUGUUUAAUGUAUAUUUGUGCAUACACCAAAAGUAGUUCUUGCAGAGCCUAACACUGAGUUACAUUCACAUUUGUUCCCUUAACAGAAAUGCUUUCAAAUAUGAGUUAACUUUACUAGAAAAAGUUCGACAUCCAAAUGUGGUUCAAUUCGUCGGAGCCGUUACACAAAACAUUCCCAUGAUGAUUGUUUCGGAGUAUCAUGCAAAAGUAAGCAUGUCUUUUUGUUAUGUUGAUUCGUCUAUUUAACCAGUAUAUAUGCAUUGCUGUUGACAUUACCAUGGCGACGAUCCUUGUUUCAGGGCAACUUCCAAAACUACCUUCAAAAGAAAGGGCGUCUAUCAACAUCCAAAGUUUUAAGAUUUGCUGUUGACAUUGCCAGGUAUCAUGUUAUCGUAUAUCAUAUAUAUAUAAUCAUACAUAAUCAUACAUGGGACAGCUUUGAUGACCGUUGUUUUCUUGAUAUCAGGGGAAUGAAUUACCUUCAUGAAUGUAAACCGGAUCCGAUCAUCCAUUGCAAUUUACAGCCAAAGUAAGGGAAUGCCUUGCAGGUUGAAUUACUUGAAUGUUACGUUAUUGUAAUGAACUGUCCUUUAAUAUUUGAAAUUUUGGUAAGGUGCCAGAAAUGUUUUGCUGGAUAAUGGUGGUAAGUUGAAGAUAGCCGGUUUUGGUUUAUUGAGGUUAUCAAAAUUAUCAGCUGACAAGGCCAAAUUAGCACGUCCAGACGAUCAACUUGAUCCAUCAAGUAUGUUAUGUGACAAAAAAAAAAAAAAAACUUCCGUCUGGAUGUUAUAAUCUUUUCUGCUAAUGCUUUAGCUUCUGUUUCUAUUGUAGAUAUAUAUAUGGCACCCGAAAUUCAUAAAGAUAUGAUAUUCGAUCGAGGUGUUGAUGCAUAUUCUUUCGGUGUUAUGCUAUACGAGGUAACAAACACGAUGUUUCAUUCAUUGUGAUCAUGCCCAGAUUUCACGGGGUAUUGACUGGUUUUUCCUAUAUGAGUGUUCAGAUGAUUGAAGGAGGAGUGCCGUUUCAUCCUAAACCCGCCGAAGAGGCCGUAAAAUUGAUGUGUUUUGAGCAAAAGAGACCGCCACUCAAGAUCAAAUCGAAAAGUUGUCCUUGGGAAUUAAGGGAGUAAGUCUUGGAGAUUUUCCUUGCUUUCCAAGCUUCAAGUUCAUUAGUACAGUUUAUCUUGUAUUCUAAGGUUUAUUUCGAUUAUAAUGUAUGAACAGGCUUAUCGGAGAAUGUUGGGAUCAAGAACCACUCAUAAGACCGACUUUUUCGGAAAUCAUCGUACGAUUAGAAAGAAUAGUUGCCAGUUGCACGAAACAAGGGUGGUGGAAAGACACUUUCAAGCUUCCUUGGUAUGGUUCUAUAACUUGAUUUUUUCGAUUAAGUGGUCGUUUCUAUAUGUUAGAUAUGAAUGACCUGUUAUCGGACUACUUUGAAAUGGUUAUAAUCUAUGUUGCCUGGACACGGGUGCGAGAAUCAGGUUUUUUCGGGGUCAUACAUGAUAGGUAAAUGGAAACCUACAUGUGAGUGACAAGCCUACUUAAAUUUUGACGGUUAACGACCGGAUUCGACAUAAAUCCAAACUUCCUGAACACCUACAUUGCUCUCAUUCCUUCGAGUUCCGAGUUUUGACCACUUGGUAGCCUUGGAUAAAAUGUCUUAGUAAAUAUGUUUUGUUGUUGCAGGAAAUGAGGGGAAACUUGAGUUCAUUCGGAAAAAGCAAAAACCAGACAAGGAUUUCAUGGGAGGUUCCGAUUUUGAUAUCGAGUUUUCAAACCUUCAUCUUCGAGAUUGUAUGUUAUAAACUCGAGCUAAACAAAAUACUGAAUCAUGUUCACAUAAAAAGAAAAAAAAGAGAUGAACUUCCUUCUCAUUUUAGUCUCUUUCUUUGUCGUGUUUGAUGGGUAAAAGAGCUUAAAAAUGGAACAGAGUAUACAUAUCCAAAGGUUUACUGUAAUUUUACUUAGAUCACGUUUGGGAUAAUUACACUAAUAGUACUUCAACUAUAACAAAUCUUUCAAUGUGAUAUAUGUACUUUUAAAUAUGCAUAAUCAUAUUUUGGCAUGUGGCAUUGUAUAAUAAUACGAUGUGUCUUAAUAAAUAAUUAAUUAUUAGCAUGGUCCAUUUAAUUUCGCACUGAGUUGAUUAUUUAUUUACGUCAAAUUAUAGAGCAAAAAUUUGAAGCUUAAAUUUCAAUUCCGGACCAAUGAUCGAACUAAUCAGGUCACUCGUUCAUACGAUUCGAUUAAUAAAUUAUUAAAAAUCAUAAAUAUAAAAAUAUAUAUAUUUAAAAAAUAAAAAAAAUUGGUUCAAUUGACACUUACUGGUUCAUGGGUCAACUAGUUUGAUGCCUCUCUCUAGAUCGACACCCUGGUUGGUCCAAUCUGGUUCAAACAACCAUGACUCUAAGUCUCUAUAUUUCAUACAUUUGGAAUUUAACCCUCCUACCUUUAUUUUCAAUAAUUUAAUCUCUCUACAUUUUAGAUUUAAAAAUCUACUUUCAAAUUAUAUAAUAUAACCACGUAACACUUUAAUUGAGAAGUUAACGAUAUUAAUUAUUUUAAUUAAUUAAUAACAUUAUAAAUUUUAAACUAAUUAAUAAUAUUAUAUAAAUAUAGAUACUAAAUUCUGUUAGAAACUAAAGUAUAAAGAUUAAAUUUUAAAUAAAAACAUAUUAAAAGGACCAAAACUGAAAAUUAACCAUUUUGAGCCUAGCAUGUGCACGUCCAUGCUGGACCUUCCUCUACGAAAUGGGUAUAUAGAUUGACAAAAAUCAUGAACGUACGGCAUAAUUUACAAGUGACAAUGAUUUUAUAUUAACGAAAAAUAUAUAAUGAUUUUUUUGAAAAAUUUAAAAUAGAACCAAAUUGAUAUAAUGUGUAAACAUUGAGGAUCAAAAUGAUAUAAGGUAAACUAUACCCAAUGUCACUAAAUUAUUUGUAAGUUUAUCCUUUUGUCACUCAACUUUUAAAAAGUUACAAUAUGGUCACAAAAUUAUUCAAAAAUUUUCAUUUAAGUCACUAAAAGAUAAAACGAGUGACAAAAUGAAAACUUAUUAAGUUCAGAUAACUAAAAUGAGUGUACAAUAACAUUGAAUUAACGACAUGUGACCAAAACGAAAAUUUAUUAAAGUUGAGUAACUAAAAUGAAAAUAAUUGUUAAUAAUAGUACCUAAUUUGCAAAUUUUUUUUAUUUUCAAAUUGAUAGAUGAAGUGGAUUUCAACUGAUUUAGGAUGGAUUCGGAUAGUAAAAGCUGUUCGUUUAGCUUAUUUUUUGUCUCACAUUAUGAUAUCGCUAUGAGAUUUAAUCUCACUAUCACCGCUGUUUUUACACUAACAGCAGCUAACGCACCGUUCAUCCAAACCCACCCUCAUGCUAUCCUCGGUUUAUCUUUUUGAAAUAAAUUUCCCAAAUUAAAUUUUACAAAAUUUACACAUUUAGUACCAUAUCUUUUGUUACAUUUCAUUUCCCCAAUAUGUAAUUUAUUCAUUUGUAUACUCACUGCUACGAACAGACUAUUAACACUACGAGAGUUUAGGAACUCCACGAUCUUCUCUUAUUUUAUUCCAAUUUCUGUCCUUUUAAAAAAAAAAAUUUAUGUCUUUCAUGGUGUAAUUGAGUAAGUGAGUGUGGAACAAAGAUUGAUUUUGGAGUUGGGUCAUUUUUCGUUUAGGGUUUAUGUGAUUUUUAAUUCUUUAAUAUCAGAUAUGUAUUUGUUUGGCUAUCACAAUUUAAGGUUCGAUCCCUUUUCUCUCUCUCUCUCUCUCUCUCUCUCUUUUUGUUUUGGAUUUUAGGGUUUCAUUCGUCGCUAAAGUUUUUUAUGUUGGAAGUUGAAAUUUGUCAAUCUGCCGAGUCAAAUAAAAUAGAAAUUGGUGGUUUUUUUUGUUUGAUGGAUUAGAAAGUUGAAGAACCCUAAGAUUUUUUUUUUUGUAUUUUAGAAUUUAAUUAUAAUCCCAAUCUCAAUUAUCAUCUCAAUUUUUCAGGGUUUUUCAGUUCUCAUGCAUGAACUUUGCGUCAUUGGAACUGAUUCAUUGAUUCUCUGGAGUUUUUCCCUUUGGAUUUUAUAUAUUUUCAACUAAUGGAUAACUUUGAUCAGAAGCUUGGUCCAGGUAAGCUCUCAUUCUAUUUUUGCAAUAAAUCAGUUUGUUUAGUCUGUAAUUUCGAUUUGUGUGAGAUUAUUAUGUUUCCAUUUGUCUCAACUGCAGAAUUUUUCAAGAAUCUCUCAGCGGAAGCUGUUACGCCAUUAAAUGUGGUUCAUGAAGAGAUAUAUGAAAGUUCUUCGAAGCGACCGAAAACGACAUCCAAAGUCUGGGAUAUUUUCGAGAAACUUCCAGCGCAACAAGGAGAUUCAAAGGCGAUAUGUAAGUUAUGCAGGAGAAUAUAUACUGCUAAAACUACUAGUGGUACUUCUCACUUGAGACGUCAUAUUGAAGCUUGCGUUAAACGUGGUAAUCAUGAAGUAGAUCAGCGCUCAAUAGAAGCAUGCUUUAAACCUGUUAAACGGAAUGCCAAUCGUCUCACUCUUUCGCAUGACACCUUGAUUGCUGCUACUACAUCCUUAAAGAACUAUAAACUAGAUGUCGAUGAGAUUCAUCGGGCGAUUGCAAUGAUGAUCAUUGUUGAUGAACAACCAUUCAGUGUGGUUGAAGAUGCGGGUUUUAGACGUUUAUUGAGUGCUGCAUGUCCUGAAUUUCCGGUGCUGAGUAGGAGUUCUAUUAAAAGGGAUAUAAUUUCCAUAUACGUGAAGGAGAGAGAGAAUAUUCGUGAAUUGUUAGCAACAUGUCCUGGUCGGAUUUGUUUGACAUCCAGCACAUGGAAAUCCGAUUCCGAUGAUCAUUUCAAUUGUGUCACCACGCAUUUCAUUGACCAUGAAUGGAGGUUGCAGAAGAGGAUUUUAAGUUUCAAGCUUAUGCCUCCUCCAUAUGAUAGUUUGUCUGUUGCUGAUGAGAUAGCUUUGUGUAUGGUUCAAUGGAACAUCGAGCACAAGGUUUUCAGUGUUACGCUGGAGAAUUUGUCGAGUGAUGAUUGUGUGGCUGACAUGCUGAGAUCACGACUUGCUGCAAAAAAGUAUCUCCCUUGUAAGGGUGUGUUUUUUCAUGUCAGCUGUUUCUUUCGCAUUUUGAAUUCGAUUGUGCAAGCUGGUUUGAACCUAGUUGUUGAUAUCAUUGCAAAGUUGAGACUCGGUAUUAAGUAUGUGCAGCAAUCUCCCCAUAGGAAGAAGAACUUUUACAUAAUUGCUAAGACUUUGAACUUGGAUACUCAAAGAAAGUUGUGUCUCGAUACCCCUGCCAGAUGGAAUUCCACAUAUAACAUGAUAGAAGUUGCUUUCUGUUAUAACAAUGCAUUCAUGUACUUGGCAGAACAAGACAAAAACUUUCUACACAAAUUAUCAGAAGAUGAGUGGGAAAAGUUGAGUGUCUUAUACAAAUUUCUGAAAGUCUUUUACGAGGUGACGUGUGUAUUUUUUAGAAACAGACAGCCGACUUCAAAUUUGUAUUUCAAAGCAGCAUGGAAAGUUCAUAGUCGCUUAUUUGAUAUGGUUAGAGGUCCAGAAAAUUUCAUGACUCGCAUGGUCAGAGAAAUGCACUCAAAAUUGAACCAAUACUGGUCAGCUUAUAAUUUGAUCUUGUCAUGUGCUGCGAUUUUGGAUCCUAGAUGCAAGAUUAAGUUUGUUGAAUAUUGUUACACCAAACUGUAUGGUAGUGGUGCUCAGAAAUAUGUUAGUGUAAGCGUUAACACUUUGUAUGGCUUGUUUGAUGAAUACAUGCAAAAUUCAGCACGCCCUUCUCAGACUACCUUAUUAUCAACUGCUGCCAGUAAAAUAUCCAAUGAUAAAGACAAUAACGAUGGGUUUGAAGACUAUGAAACCUUUCAAAGUGCCAGGUUCCGAACUCAAGUGGAGAAGUCUCAACUCGACCUUUAUUUAGAAGAACCAAGCCAUGAUCUAAACAGUGAAAUAGAUGUCUUGGAAUAUUGGACUUUAUGUUCCUUGAGGUAUCCAGAGCUUUCAAAAAUGGCCCGCGAUGUUUUAACCAUUCCAGUGUCCACCAUUGCUUCUGACAGUGCAUUUGACAUUAGUCCCCAAGUGAUUAGCACUGAUCGUAGCUCUUUAAAACCAAAGAUGUUACAAGCAUUGGUUUGUCUUCAAGAUUGGAUGUUGGCUUCUGAUAGAACAAGUAAGUCGCCUUAUUUGAUUGCAUAUAGUAAUUGCUGUUAUACCAUGCAUAACUGCUUUGUUUAAAAUCUCUGUAGGAGGUUUAGGCUCUAUGGAAAGCAAACCUGAAGAUGAUAGCUCCAGUUCUAGUGAUGGUGAUGAUGAUUAUUAGGUAAUUUUCGUUUUAAUCAUAUAUCUAUUUCCGGUUUCUUGUAACUGAUUUUCCCCGAUUUAGAACUUCAUCUGCAUUCUUUUGAGGGAUAAAUAUAUAAUUUAUACAUGGACUUUGGUCCAAUGUGCAAUUUUGAUACAUGAACUUUUUUCACAUGAAACUCGAAUUGUGGUUCAUGUGUAUUCAUGAAACUUCGAUUUGAUUCAAUUGUACACAUUUAAAGAAAUGAAUGCGCACAUUUAUUUUCAUAUUAGAUUAUUAUAAUUGUUUGUGUAUGCAAUAUAAUAACAUAAAAUGGUGCUACUCCGAUAUUGUUGUUUGUGAUUUGUGAGAAUUUAAUCAAAUUAAAAUUUCAUGUAUAAAAUAACAUAAAAUCAAAGUUCAUGUAUAGUUUUGAUAUUUAUCCCUUCUUUCUGCCCACCACAUCUUUCAUACUGCAAAGAUUAGUAUUUUCGAAUAUGAAUGAGCAUACAGGGCUCAUUUCUUCUUCUUCCAGCUUAUCUGAAGUGUUGCAGAAGAGCCAUCUUGCUUCUAGGAAAUUCUGACAACUGAUUAACAAUGAGGUUCGAUUUACAUGGAUACGGAGCGGAGUUAUAAACAAUUGAUGAAUCAUCUCCAGCAUAAUGUUCAAAGAAAAUGGAGCAAUGGACUCAUAAAAAGGGACCCCAAAACUCCAAAAGUCAAAUGAUAAUAUAUGGCAUUAACUGCCCCAGGAUCGUACACAUAAUGCAGCUCUCUGAAAGGCCUGAUUUUGGAGCUGAUUUGUUUAUUCGUUUCUCAAAGAGCUUAGCACAAGCAUUGGACAAACUGGUAAUGGUGUUAAUCUUUCCAUGCUAAUAUUUGUGCUUUCAUCUUCUUCAAACUAGGAGCUUGUUGAAGGAAACGAAAAGCUUUUGCUUGAACUUGAUGCUGGUGAUUAGGCUUUUUUGAGGGGUAAGUUCUUAAAGAAUUGCAGCAUUUAAUUUAUGCUAUGAUUUGUGUUUGGUAAAUAAAAAUAUCUACUAUUUGCAUCAUUCAUCUCUAUUUUGGAAAGAUUUUAAAAGCAAUUUUAGAAUGAAAAAAUCAAUUGAUUAAUGAAUUUUUAUUGUAGUAGUUAAAGGGCAGCCCUCAUUGGCUAUAUAGGUUGUGUUUUGAUUAUAACAGGAUCACUGGUUUUUCUCUUUUUAAGAAGAAAAAGACUUCACAAGCAAUAUUGUGUUUACAAAAAAAAAAAAAAAACCCUCAGAAAAGGUCACAUGGCUACGUGCAUAUGUCUUAGAUUUGCUUGUGGAGUAUUUUUAUUUCAUCUACAAUGUAAAGAAUAAUUCUCCUAGUGUUCUAUAUUAUAUUUAAGAUUUUAAUUGAGUUGGUGUUCAUCAUCAAUCGAAUCGCAACUCAGUGGUAAAGUUAUAAAAGAAUCUCUUAUUUAUCUCAAAAUAAAGCCUUCUAAGCCAAGUAAAAUCGACAACUUAAUCACCAAGUAAAUGACUCAAAAAAUAAAGAUAAACUUUAUGGGAUAAGGUAAGUUGAUCACCAAUAUUUUCUUUAGCCAAUCUCGAUCACUGUAGGGAUAAAACAUAUUCUAAGGGUCAUUUGUUUAUAGAGAAUUGAAUUAUGGAGGUCAAAGUAAAACUGCUUAUGCUAUGUUCAGGUUAUUGUCCAAAGAUUUGUAUAAAAUUUGUUCGAACGCGAGAAUAAACAAGCAGAUCAAAGAGCUGUUCGAACAUGGGUUGAAACAUCAACACCAAGACAUUUAAGGUCUCAACAAUCUUCUUCUUUGACUUUUUGACAAAACAGAAACAAAUGAUGAAAGGUAAACUCCUCUUGUCACCAUGCCAGAAACAUAUGAGAUACCAAAAUAAAAUGGCAUAAGUAACUCAUAAAAAGGAUGUUCAAUACAUCAGAAAAAUGAUGACCCAAUGUUGGAACUCUUUAUGAUAUUUUAUCAACUGCCCACAUGAUUUUUUUAUCAGGAAUUGGGUGAUUCUGUAGUGUUUUUGUCUGGGUGUUGGUUGUGUUUACUUAUGAGUGAUUAUAUGAAUAUAUAGAUUUUAAGGGUAAGAUGGCAGAUUCACAAAUAACACUUAUAUUUUACUUCUUACUAAAUACAAGAUACGAAGAGUAAUAGAUAUCAAAUUUUCAACAGCCAAAUACCUUAUAUGGUAAGGUCUAUUUUCAAUACAUGAGUAUUAUUUAACACAUCACCCCUCUUUACAUGCAUUGUACCAAAGAGAGCCGAAUAAUCAUAUCGAUUUAAGAGAUUUUGAAUGACAUUUGUGUUUUGAUCAUAAUUGAAUCACUCUAGCUUUUACCUAUUUUCUAAUAACAUAUAAUAUAUGUUAUUGAAUAAAUCAAUUGAACUAAGUCUCGGAUUUGUCAUUUUAAAUAUUCUUUUUACUAAGAACACUAACCCUAUUUACAUCGUGCCAAUAUUUUAGAGACCAAUUCAUCAAUAUUCUUGUCCGAACUUCCACCUUCACACACUGCUUCCACAGCCAAUUCCUUCCAUUUCAUAGCAUUUCUUUUCAUUUCAAUCCCUUCUUCCCCUUCCAUAACUUGUCUAAUACACCUCUCUAUUUCAUCUCCACUCACAAUCCCAUCCUCCCUCACAUUAACUCGAACCCCAACUUUCCAAACAUCCUCAACUAGCUUAGCAUCCGUGGUUUGGUCGGUCCACUGCGGCAUCGCCACCAUCGGUAUCCCCAAACACAAGGCCUCAAUCGUCGAGUUCCACCCACAAUGCGUGAAAAAACACCCUAUGGCCUCAUUCGCAAGUACCUCGGUUUGUGGUAUCCAAGAAACUAUCAAUGCUUUAUCACCCAUUUCCUCAAUGAACCCGUGUGGGACUUUCGAUAACUCGGAAGACCGAACCACCCACAAGAAAUGAAACCCAGUUUGCUUUAAACCUCGUGCGAGUUCCUUCAUUUGGUCACUGGUUAGGUUAGCCAAGCUUCCGAAUGAGGCGUAAACGACCGAGCAUGGUGGCUUGGAGGUUAGCCAACAUGUACUAGUAGAGUCUAGUUUAAAGAGAUUGAGAUCGUAAUCUUUGUCAUUUUCAAGUCUUUUAUCUAAAUACAUGGAUGGGAUUGUUGGGCCUAUCGUUAACAGUGGUUGAGACAUCACCUUCGACAUCGAGUCAACAACCUGUUUAUAGCAAAGAGAUCAUUACAAAAUGGUAUAAAAGUACAUUGCAUGUCCCUAUACCACUUGUUACAGUUUGGUUUUUAUACAUUUAAAACUAGUAACAAUAUAAUAGCGAAAUGAUAACAAAACAAUAAAAAUCAGUGAUAAAAUAGCAACAUUUUUUUUCUACAAAUUCGUGCUGAACCUAAGCAAAAAAAAGCUUUCCCAUUUUUCGAUCUUAUAUUUUUGCCCAAAUCUUCUCACUUUUCGGGUUGGCCUUCAGGUUGAACUAGGUGACUCGGCCCAUAGAUAAGUCUAGGUUUUAGUUUAGGGUUUUGAAACUCUCUAGCUAUCACUACCAUCGGGGUGAAUAGAGAUAUUUUUUUGUCUCAAUUUGGUACUUAAGUUUGGCUUAAAUGUUCAAUUUGAUGCCUGAGUUUUUUUUGUCCCAAUUAGGUAUCUGUGUUUUUCUAAAGAAAAAUUUAGUAUAAUAAUAAAAUGAAAUACUUAAAAACUAUUAAUUUAUAUUGAUACGAUUGACAUCGACAAUUAUUAUUAAUUGAAGUUAUUAUUAACUAAGCCCAAAAUUAUUAGAGCAGAACUUAAUCAAGUCCUAUAAUUGAGAAGAAAAGAGAGAGAGAGAGCGCUUUCUAUAGUUAAAAGUAAACUAACCUCUUGUUCCAACUUGUAGAAGGUAUUAAUUAAAAUGAAAUCAGCUUUGUCUAUAUUAGAGAAUUGAUUCAACAGCAACUCGAAAUAAGAUGGAUACGAACCCACAACAUAGAUAAAUGACGGCAUGUCUCGAAGAUCAAGCAACGGCAACCCGGGAAUGACAAUUGGCAUCAUUGACGAUGAAAUCGGAAGACUCAAAAGCCCGUUACGAGCAUAAUAAUAUAUGUAAUUCACAGCGCACGCCUGCGUAAAAAAAGCUAUUCCAACAAUACCAAAUUGUUGGGCAACAUCAAGAACCCAUGGAAGGAAAGCAUCAUAGAGUAUGCAAUCAAUAGGACGGGGUGAGUUCUUAUGCUUUAUGAUAAGUUCGGUCAAGGUUUUUGACCCAACAGUUUGUAAUCGUACAAGGUAAUCGUCAAUACUCCUAACUUCAAAGAAUCUGCCUUCAUCACAACCAUCUGAUAUCGUGUCGAAAUCGAUGUCGAAGUUGAGUAAUUCGGGUUUCAUGGUUUCGGAGAUGAAGACAGUGGUGGCAAAGGUUGCUUUGAGUCCUUUGGAGGAUAAGCGUUUGGAGAAUUGAAGCAUUGGGUUAAUAUGGCCUUGGGUCGGAUACGGAAUGACCAAUACAUGACCCCUAUUGUUAGCUUUUUUCUCCAUUUGUUUUUGUUCUCCAAUAUAAUUUAUGUUCUUCAAGAAUACUGUAGUAUGCUAUUUAUAUUGGUAGAGUGUGUAAGACCACGACUAAUCUUAAAAGGAGUGGAUGGAAAAAGGAUUAUGUCAUAUCAAUGGAUAGAGUUCUAUAGCCCCAAUUAUAGGGAAACAAAAAAAAGUAACGAGCUUUUCUUUGAGUUGUUUAUCUUCAAAACCGAUCAAAUAUAUUUUUUUAUACAAUGUAUAGAAUUAUUUAUAACCCUUAACCCUUAAAUAAGUGAAUAAACGCGUUUCAACACACUCGAACUCACAUCGUCCUACAUUGCCAAUAAUAUUCACGCCAGUCGAACCAAUACUGAAUUGACACAUAUUAAAUAUAUUUUUAAAUAUCAAUCAAUAUCAAAAUAUGAGUAAAAAAUAAAACGAUAUAUAGGUUUACAAGUGUGGAAGGAUUUUGAUCAUAGGAUCUCAAAAAAAUAUAGAUAAGAUGAUUUCAUCCACACAAAAUAUAGGCAAUAUUUUCAACUUUACACCGAAUACAAACAAUGUUCCUUGAUUGAAUCUAAAAUUAUUGAACCAUCCAUCCCUUUCAUGAUAAUGAUACCUUUUGGGUUCAAACGUUCAAUAAUUCAACAAAUAUUGUUCUACCACAUACGUAGACUUGUACAGCCCGACCCGAAGGUCUGUCCGAAAAAUGAAAAUAUUUGGAUAAAAAUAUAAGCUUAAAAGAUGAGUUUCGGCAAAAAAAUUAAGCUCGUUUAGAAAACGGGUUGAGUCCUAAGUAAAGUUUUUUUUUGCCCCGAGCUUGGCCUGGAUACAUGUCUAAAAGUAUCGAUACCCUUAACAAAGUAUUUGUACUUUCACAAAAGUAUCAAUACCCUGCCUGGUAUCAAUACCGUUUUAAGGUUAGAUGUUUUGAAAAUUAAAGAAAAAUUGCUUGAGUGUCGAUACUCUCUCUAAGGUGUCGAUACCUCAUAAUGUAUCGAGAUUAUAAGUUUUAAUACAGGUCAAGCCGGUCCGGGCCCGGGGUUAGCAUAUAUAAUCUAGGCCGGUUUGGGUAAAAAUUUACACCCAUUUUUGAGCCGAACCUAAAAUUUUGUUAAAACUCGGCUCAGCACAUGAACAACUCUAAUCACGCUAGAUUUCUAAAUAAGAAGUAAAACUCUUUUAACAUUGCUGUUUCCGUUCAUAAAAUUUGAAUUUUAAAACAAAGAUAUAAGUUUCUAAUCUCUCAACAUAAUAAGCAUUGAUAGAGACUAGGAUGAACCCUGAAAUAUUAUAAAAGAAGUCCAAAAUAUUACUAAUUAUGGCAGCAAUAGAACCACUUGUUCCCUUUGUAUCAAAUUUUCAAUUUUAUAACAUGUUCAAUUUUAUUUUUUUUACAUAUCGUAUGAAUAUUAAAAAUAUAACAUUAUAAUAUAAAUAUUAAAUAAUAUUUAAGUUUAAAUAUUAUAAAAUUCAGUCCAUGCAAAAAAUGUUUAUCUCUAUACUCAUGUUGUAAGUUCGAGUCACAAGAAUUGUUUACUGAUAGUGUGUAUAUAUAUGGCAAUGGUUUGCUACUAUCAGUGGCACGUGAGCUAUGCUAAAUAUAUAUACAAGUCAGAAUAGGGUACCUAACCAAAUUUGGAUUAAUCAUUUAUAAAUAUAAGAAAUAAAAAUAAUUGUAUAUAUGAAACUCGAUUUUGAUUUAAAUACGAAAUUCUUUGCUUAUACAAUAUGUAAAUAUAAAAUGAUAUUUUUUCGCACAAACGAAAGUUGGUGUAGUUUUGAGAUCUUUUUUCCUUUUCAUGCAACAAUUAUUGAAUAAUAUUGUUGGCUUAACUACAAUAUUAGACCCUAAAUUUUUUUUUUACUUCGUUACUUAAUUUAUUUUUUUUGUUAAAAAUAGUACCUAAACUAUCAAUUUCAUCUCAUUUUACCCAAAAUGGUGUAUGAAAUCCAAUAAAAACAUGCUAUAUGUCACAUUCUUAUUGGCCAUUGUCAUGUUUUGGAAUAAAAUGAGAUAAAAUUGAUAGCUUAGAUUUAGAGGUGCUAUGGGCCAGGUUCGGGCUAGGCAUAAGCAUGAUUUUAAUAUACUUUAUGUUUGUCCAAACCCGGCCAAGAAUAUGGGCUUAAAAUUUUGCCCAAACCCGUAAAAUUGUAAAAGGCUAACCCAAGUCCAAUUUAGCCCCGCCCAUAUUAUUUUUUUGAUUUUUUUAAAAAUAUUUAUAUUAUUUUAUCUUAUUUUAAUAUUUAAUAAUUUUAUACAUUUUUAUUUAUUGAAAAUUUUUAUAUAGUCAUCUUAACAUUAUUUUAAUGUUUACAUUAGAGUAGUAUUAUAUAUUUAGUAUAUGUUUAUUUUUUAAUGUGUUAUAAAUAACAUAAUAUAAAGUAUUAAAACCUUGAAAAUGGGUCGGGUUGGGCUUGAGCCUUGAAUAUUUAAGCCUGAGCUCGACCCAUACUUUAAACGAGCCUAAUUAUUUUUCCCAGACCUAUUUUUCGAACCUAAUAUUUUUGCUUAAACCCUCUUUACAUACAUUGUACCAAAGAGAGCUGAAUAAUCAUAUCGAUUUAAGACAUUUUGAGUGAAAUUUGUGUUUUGAUCAUAAUUGAAUCACUCUAGCUUUUACCUAUUUUCUAAUAACAUAUAAUAUGCGUUAAUGCAUAAAUCACUUCAACUAAGUCUCGAAUUUGUGAUUUUAAAUAUUUUGUUUACUAAGAACACUAACCCUAUUUACAUCGUGCCAAUAUUUUAGAGACCAAUUCAUCAAUAUUCUUGUCCGAACUUCCACCUUCACACACUGCUUCCACAGCCAAUUCCUUCCAUUUCAUAGCAUUUCUUUUCAUUUCAAUCCCUUCUUCCCCUUCCAUAACUUGUCUAAUACACCUCUCUAUUUCAUCUCCACUCACAAUCCCAUCCUCCCUCACAUUAACUCGAACCCCAACUUUCCAAACAUCCUCAACUAGCUUAGCAUCCGUGGUUUGGUCUGUCCACUGCGGCAUCGCCACCAUCGGUACCCCCAAACACAAGGCCUCAAUCGUCGAGUUCCACCCACAAUGCGUGAAAAAACACCCUAUGGCCUCAUUCGCAAGUACCUCAGUUUGUGGUAUCCAAGUAACUAUCAAUGCUUUAUCACCCAUUUCCUCAAUGAACCCGUGUGGGACUUUCGGUAACUCGGAAGACCGAACCACCCACAAGAAAUGAAACCCAGUUUGCUUUAAACCCCGUGCGAGUUCCUUCAUUUGGUCGAUGGUUAGGUUAGCCAUGCUUCCAAAUGAGACGUAAAUGACCGAGCAUGGUGGCUUGGUGGUUAGCCAACAUGUACUGGUAGAGUCUAGUUUAAAGAGAUUGAGAUCGUAAUCUUUGUCGUUUUCAAGUCUUUUAUCUAAAUACAUGGAUGGGAUUGUUGGGCCUAUCGUUAACAAUGGUUGAGUCAUCACCUUCGACAUCGAAUCAACAACCUGUUUAUAUCAAAGAGAUCAUUACAAAAUGGUAAAAGUACCUUGCAUGUCCCUAUACCACUUGAUGCAUUUUUGUUUUUAUACUUUUAAAAAUAGUAACAAUAUAAUAGUGAAAUGAUAACAAAACAAUAAAAAUCAGUGAUAAAAUAGUAACAAAAAUAUUUUUUUUACAAAUUCGUGCCGAGCCUAGGCAAAAAAAAGCUUUCCCAUUUUUCGGGAUUAUAUUUUUGCCCAAAUCUUCUCACUUUUCAAGCUGGCCUUCGAGUUGAACUGGGUGACUCGGCUCAUGGAUAAGUCUAGGUUUUAGUUAGGGUUUUGAAACCAAUUCUCUAGCUAUCACUGCCACCGGGGUGAAUAGAAAUAUUUUUUUGUCUCAAUUUGGCACUUAAGUUUAGCUUAAAUAUUCAAUUUGAUACCUAAGUUUUUUUUGUCCCAAUUAGGUAUCUAUGUUUUGCUACAAGAAAACACAUGUCAAACAUUCAUUAGCAAUAUGAUGUCAUUUGGUUUGGAUACCAAAUUGAAAAAUGAAAUUAAACUUAAAUAUCAAAUUGAAAAAAAAACCCUUAAAAUACCAAAUUUAAAACUAAACUCAAUACUAAAUGAUAUAUUAACCGCUUGAAUUUCUCAAAAAAAUAGAUAAAUUUAAUAUAAUAAUAAAAUGAAAUAUUUAAAUACUAUUAGUUUAUAUUGAUACGAUUGACAUCGACAAUUAUUAUUAAUUGAAGUUAUUAUUAACUAAGCCCAAAAAUAUUAGAGCAGAACUCAAUCAAGUCCUAAAAUUGAGAAGAAAAGAGAGAGAGAGAGAGAGAGCCUUAUAUAGUUAAAAGUAAACUAACCUCUUGUUCCAACUUGUAGAAGCUAUUAACUAAAAUGAAAUCAACUUUGUCUAUAUUAGAGAAUUGAUUCAACACCAACUCGAAAUAAGAUGGAUACGAACCCACAACAUAGAUAAAUGACGGCAUGUCUCGAAGAUCAAGCAACGGCAACCCGGGAAUGACAAUUGGCAUCAUUGACGAUGAAAUCGGAAGACUCAAAAGCCCGUUACGAGCAUAAUAAUAUAUGUAAUCCACGGCGCACGCCUGCGUAAAAAAAGCGAUUCCAACAAUACCAAAUUGUUGGCCAACAUCAAGAACCCAUGGAAGGAAAGCAUCAUAGAGUAUGCAAUCAAUAGGAUGGGGUGAGUUCUUAUGCUUUAUGAUAAGUUCGGUCAAGGUUUUUGACCCAACAGUUUGUAAUCGUACAAGGUAAUCAUCAACACUCUCGACUUGUAAGAAUCCGCCUUUAUCACAACCGUCUGAAAUUGUGUCGAAAUCGAUGUCGGAGUUGAGUAAUUCGGGUUUCAUGGUUUCGGAGAUGAAGACAGUGGUGGCAAAGGUUGCUUUGAGUCCUUUGGAGGAUAAGCGUUUGGAGAAUUGAAGCAUUGGGUUAAUAUGGCCUUGGCUUGGAUAAGGAAUGACCAAUACAUGAACCCUUUUGUUAGCUUUUUUCUCCAUUGGUUUUUGUUCUCCAAUAUAAUUUAUGAUCUUCAAGAAUAUUGGAGUAUGCUAUUUAUAUUGGUAGAGUGUGUAAGACCACGACUAAUCUUAAAAGGAGUGGAUGGGAAAAGGAUUAUGUCAUAUCAAUGGAUAGAGCUCUAUCGUCCCAAUUAUAGGGAAACAAUAAAGUAACGAGCUUUUCUUUGAGUUGUUUAUCUUCAUAACCGAUCGAGUAUAUUUUUUGAUACAAUGUAUAGAAUUAUUAAUAACUCCUAACCCUUAAAUAAGUGAAUAAACGCGUUUCAACACACUCGAACUCACGUCGUCCUACAUUGCCAAUAAUAUUCACACCAAUCGAACCAAUACUGAAUUGACACAUAUUAAAUAUAUUUUGAAAUAUCAAUCAAUAUCAAAAUAUGAGUAAAAAAUAAAACGAUAUAUAGGUUUACAAGUGUGGAAGGAUUUUGAUCAUAGGAUCUCAGAAAAAUAUAGAUAAGAUGAUUUCAUCCACACAAAAUAUAGGCAAUAUUUUCAACUUUACACCGAAUACAAACAAUGUUCCUUGAUUGAAUCUAAAAUUAUUGAACCAUCCAUCCCUUUCAUGAUAAUGAUACCUUUUGGGUUAAAACGUUAAAUAAUUCAACAAAUAUUCUUCUACCACAUACUAUACGUAGACUUGUACAGCCCGACCCGAAGGUCUGUCCGAAAAAUAAAAAUAUUUGGAUAAAAAUAUAAGCUUAAUUGCUUAUAAGAUGAGUUUCGGUAAAAAAAUAAGGCUCGUUUAGAAAACGGGUUGAGUCCUAGGUAAAGUUUUUUGGCCCCGAGCCUGGCCCAGAUACAUGUCUAAAAGCAUCGAUACCCUUAACAAAGUAUUUGUACUUUCACAAAAGUAUUGAUACCCUGCUUAAGGUUAGAUGUUUUGAAAAUUAAAGAAAAAUUGCUUGAGUGUCGAUACCCUCUCUAAGGUGUUGAUACCACAUAAUGUAUCGAGAUUAUAGGUUUUAAUACAGGUCAGGUCAGUCCGGGCCCGAGGUUAGCAUAUAUAAUCUAGGCCGGGUUUGGGUAAAAAUUUACACCCAAUUUGGGCUGAACUUAAAAUUUUGUUGAAACUCGGCCUGACACAUGGAUAACUCUAAUCACAUAUAUUUCUUUUUACCUCGUUCCGUAUUAAAUUUUGAUUAAUUUAGAGUUAAAUUUUUAAAUAAGAAGCAAAACUCUUUUAACAUCGUUGUCUCCGUUUAUAAAAUUUGAAUUUUAAAACAAAGAUAUAAGUUUCUUAUCUCUCGACAUAAUAAGCAUUGAUAGAGACAAUGAUGAAUCCAGUACAUAUUAUAAAAGAAGUCAAAAAUAUUACUAAUGGCAGCAAUAGAACCACUUGUUCCCUUUGUAUCAAAUUUUCAAUUUUAUAACAUUUUAUUUUUUAUUUUUUAUAUGUCAUAUGAAUAUUAAAAAUAUAACAUUAUAAUAUAAAUAUUAAAUAAUAUUUACGCUUAAAUAUUAUAAAAUUCAGUCCAUGCAAAAAAUGUUUAUCAGGAAUUUUGAGAACUCUUUACAUCCAUUGUACCAGAGCCGAAUAAUCAUAUCGAUUUAAGAAAUUUUGAGUGAAAUUUGUGUUCAAUUUGAUCAUAAUUGAGUCACUCUAGUUUUUACCUAUUUUCUAAUAACAUAUAAUAUGUGUUAUUGCAUAAAUCAAUUGAACUAAGUCUCGGAUUUGUGAUUUUAAGUAUUUUGUUUACUAAGAACACUAACCCUAUUUACAUCGUGCCAAUAUUUUAGAGACCAAUUCAUCAAUAUUCUUGUCCGAACUUCCACCUUCGCACACUGCUUCCACAGCCAAUUCCUUCCAUUUCAUAGCAUUUCUUUUCAUUUCAAUCCCUUGUUCCCCUUCCAUCACUUGUCUAAUACACCUCUCUAUUUCAUCUCCACUCACAAUCCCAUCCUCCCUCACAUUAACUCGAACCCCAACUUUCCAAACAUCCUCAACUAGCUUAGCAUCCGUGGUUUGGUCGGCCCACUGUGGCAUCGCCACCAUCGGUACCCCCAAACACAAGGCCUCAAUCGUCGAGUUCCACCCACAAUGCGUGAAAAAACACCCUAUGGCCUCAUUCGCAAGUACCUCGGUUUGUGGUAUCCAAGUAACUAUCAAUGCUUUAUCACCCAUUUCCUCAAUGAACCCGUGUGGGACUUUCGGUAACUCGGAAGACCGAACCACCCACAAGAGAUGAAACCCAGUUUGCUUUAAACCCCAUGCGAGUUCCUUCAUUUGGUUGCUGGUUAGGUUAGCCAAGCUUCCAAAUGAGACGUAAACGACCGAGCAUGGUGGCUUGGUGGUUAGCCAACAUGUACUGGUAGAGUCUAGUUUAAAGAGAUUGAGAUCGUAAUCUUUGUCGUUUUCAAGUCUUUUAUCUACACACAUGGAUGGGAUUGUUGGGCCUAUCGUUAACAAUGGUUGAGUCAUCACCUUCGACAUUGAAUCAACAACCUGUUUAUAGCAAAGAGAUCGUUACAAAAUGGUAAAAGUACCUUGCAUGUCCUUAUACCACUUGCUGCAUUUUGGUUUUUAUACUUUUAAAAAUAGUAACAAUAUAAUAGCGAAAUAAUAACAAAUCAAUAAAAAACAGUGAUAAAAUAGCAAAAGCUUUUUUUUUUACAAAUUCGUGCCGAGCCUAGGCAAAAAAAAGCUUUCCCAUUUUUCGGGCUUAUAUUUUCCCAAAAUCUUCUCACUUUUCGGGCUGCCCUUCGGGUUGAACUGGGUGACUCGGCCCAUGUAUAAGUCUAGGUUUUAGUUAGGGUUUUGAAACCAGUUCUCUAGCUAUCACUACCACCCGGGUGAAUAAAGAUUUUUUUUGUCUCAAUUUGGUACUUAAGUUUGGCUUAAAUGUUCAAUUUGAUACCUGAGUUUUUUUUUUGUCCCAGUUAGGUAUUUGUGUUUUUCUACAAGAAAACACAAGUCAAAGAUUCAUUAGGCAAUAUGAUGUCAUUUGGUUUAAAUACCAAAUUGAAUAUUGAAAUUAAACUUAAAUAUCAAAUUGAAAAGAAAAAAACUUAAAUACCAAAUUUGAAACUAAACUUAAUACUAAAUGAUAUAUUAAACGCUUGAAUUUCUAGAAAAAAAGAUAAAUUUAGUAUAAUAAUAAAAUGAAAUAUUUAAAUACUAUUAAUUUAUAUUGAUACGAUUGACAUCGAAAAUUAUUAUUAAUUGAAGUUAUUAUUAACUAAGCCCAAAAUUAUUAGAGCAGAACUCAAUCAAGUCCUAUAAUUGAGAAGAAAAUUGAGAGAGAGAGAGAGAGAGAGCUUUGUAUAGUUAAAAGUAAACUAACCUCUUGUUCCAACUUGUAGAAGGUAUUAACUAAAAUGAAAUCAGCUUUGUCUAUAUUAGAGAAUUGAUUCAACACCAACUUGAAAUGAGAUGGAUACGAACCCACAACAUAGAUAAAUGAUGGCAUGUCUCGAAGAUCAAGCAACGGCAACCCGGGAAUGACAAUUGGCAUCAUUGACGAUGAAAUCGGAAGACUCAAAAGCCCAUUAUGAACAUAAUAAUAUAUGUAAUCCACAGCGCACGCCUGCGUAAAAAAAGCGAUUCCAACAAUACCAAAUUGUUGGGCAACAUCAAGAACCCAUGGAAGGAAAGCGUCAUAGAGUAUGCAAUCAAUAGGAUGAGGUGAGUUCUUAUGCUUUAUGAUAAGUUCGGUCAAGGUUUUUGACCCAACAGCUUGUAAUCGUACAAGGUAAUCGUCAAUAUCCCCGAGUGCGAAGAAUCCCUCUUUAUCACAACCGUCUGAUAUCGUGUCGAAAUCGAUUUCGGAGUUGAGCAAUUCGGGUUUCAUGGUUUCAGAGAUGAAGACAGUGGUGGCAAAGGUUGCUUUGAGUCCUUUGGAGGAUAAGCGUUUGGAGAAUUGAAGCAUUGGGUUAAUAUGGCCUUGCGUCGAAUAAGGAAUGACCAAUACAUGACCCCUUUUGUUAGCUUUUUUCUCCAUUUGCUUUUGUUCUCCAAUA
rnacentral:lncRNA from 1 species